UAAUAACAAAAAAAUAAUAAUAAUAAAAUUUGAAGAUGGAUUCACUCUAUUCCACUACAACAGAAUUAGGUUAUAGGGAUACAUGUUUGGAACACUUUUGUAUAAGUGUCCCAUUUAUGCUAAAACUUUUAAAAAAAUCUACUAAUGCCUAACUAUAAAGCCCAAUCCAACUAAAAAUAAAAAGUUACUCCUUCAACACACUUUCACUGAGCCCAUUCGGCCUGAUUACAAACAGAAAAGAAAAAGAAAAAGAAAAAUCGAUUACCAUCUCUUUUUCUCCCCUCACUCAAUCCACUGAAAUUCUAGACGAAGAGCCCUUCCCUCUCGUUCUCCUCCGCCACUGCAGCAAACGAGGUAGUGUUCCGGCGGUUGCUAAAUGUUUAAAUAAGUGUUGGUAAUUUAGCAGCACUUUUUUUAGGUUAUGGCGACACUCUUUAACUGUUACUAUAUACCUAGCGAUCCCACAUAUAGCAACACUUUUUAAAAGUGUCAGUAAUUUAGCCAGCAGUACUUUUUUUGACUUAUACCGACAUUUAAAAGUGUCGCUAUAGACCGUUUUUGUUGUAGUGUUCUUAAAUGCUAAUGUUUAUAUCAUAACUAGAAGUGAAUUUUUUUUUUUUUUUUUGUGUUUUGAAUUUACACAAAAUCAUGCGAAAGAUAUGCGAGUAAAACAGGUGUUUAAUUAUUAACUUUGUUCGAGCAAAUCGGUGUCUAUUAAACUAUUUAAUAAAAUUUUGCAAAAUUAAGCUCAGAGAUUUAUUUGCAAAAGAGCUAAAAUUCAGGAGAUCUUUAUACAUUUUAUGGUCGAUUAAAUAGUCUGAUUUAUCCUUUUUUUUCUUUUUUUUCUUUUUUUUUGGUCUUUCUCAUGCAGGAAAACUAGAAUGGAGCUCACAGGCAAAGUCCUAUUCCAAAUUUUCCUAUGCUCAAUUUUUGGGUGAGUAUAAAUUAAUUUCCAUAAUAGGGAAUAAUAAGUGUUAUAAUUAAUCUAUGAAAAAAAAUAUUGUAAUAUGAACCAUAUUGAAAUUAAAAUAGUUCAAUCCUGGUUUAUUCGGUUUGAACACAAAAUCUAUUAAAACUAGUUAUAUAAAUCUAAGUAUAACAUGUCAGAUAUAAGCUAUGUAUCACGGACACUUUUAUUAGCCAAGGGUGUUUGUGUUCAUAUCGAAAACAUGUCUUAUGUAGACGCUCAUUGGGCCUGUGUUUAAUACUCAUACAUAGCUCAAACAAUUAAAAGAAAGAUAUACAUAUUUUUAUUUUACUUUUUUUUUUUAUGCAUUAUAAAUGUAAAAUGAUAAAUAUUUUAAUUUUUGGCUGAAUGCAUAUAAUUUUUUUGACAAUAUAAAUAAAUUAUAUAUAGUGUAGAAUUUUUUUCUUAAAAUAUAUAAAUUAUCAAUAAAAAUUUUACUAACUUUCAUCCGUAAUAGAAAUAUAAUAAUAUUUUAUCAAAAUUAAUAUUUUAUAUAUAAUAAAUAUAUAUUAUCAUAUUAAUAAUAUUAUAUUUUAUUAGUGGUGUCCGUAUCAUAUCCGUGUCCUAAUUUUUUGAAGGCUGCCGAGUCGUGUUGUGUCCCGUAUCCUGUGUAAGUGUUCGUGAUGCCUAAAAUAUAAGUAAAAUUAAUCUUAUUUUUUAAACUUUUUGAUCUAAUGGUAAUAUUUAUUAAGCAUUUUUUAACAUGCAUAAAUUUAUUGGAAAUUUGGUUAAUUUAUUUUUAUUCCAAAAUUCACACAAUUACUGAAAACAAAGAAAAAAAAAUGGUCGUAAGUGACGAAGUUGAUUUAGUGCAUAUUUUUUUUUUGGUGAAUUAAUAAAAUAAUCAGAUAUAUUUAUUUAUGUAUUUAUACGCGUAGGGCUACGAUGAACCAGAUACUGUAUUUUGAGGGGCUCAAGUAUUCCACACCGACAAUAGCGUGUGCCCUCGGUAACACGCUACCCGCCAUCACCUUCAUCAUGGCCGUUCCUUUCAGGUAUAAAUAAUUCGAUAAUAUUUUUAUUUCAAUUCUCAAUUUAGAAUAAAAAUUAGGGUUAAUUUCAUAUGUCUAUAAAAAUAUAGUGAAUGAUAAAUAUAUUUCUAUAAAAUUCAAUUUUUAUAUGUUAUUCCUAAAAAUACCAUGAUGUUUUCAAAUAUAUCCGUACUCAGUAUCUGUUAGAAAAAUUUAGUUAACCAUAGGUUAAAUAUUUAAUCUUGAUUAGUUUUUGAUAUUUUUAUUCCUCUUAUAUUAUAUUGUUAUGAUUUUUAGAGCGACAUAUUUGUGAUGGCAAAAUUGAAAAUAUAAAUAGUUUUCUAACAGUAACAAAUUAGAGAGAUAUAUUUGAAAAUAUUAGAACUUUGACAAAGACAAUAUAUAAAAAUUAAAUUUUUUAGGAAUAUAUUUGUUAUUUACUAUAUUUAUAGGAACCUGUAUAAAAUUAAUCCUAAAAAUUAUCACUUAUAUUUGAUUUGGCAUGCAUGUUAAAAAUCUAAUAGUUAAAAAUAAAUAAAAAAUGCUAUUUUUAUACUAUCAAUAAUAGAAUUCCAACUACAUUCUUAUAAUUACUUCUUUAUUAACAUAAAUACUUAUUAUACUUUUAUUUUUUAAAAAAAUUGAACUGUAAUAUUAGUGCUGAGGUUAUAACAUGUUGGCAUGAUACAGAACAGAGGUUAUAACGUACCGAUAUGAUACAAAAUCGAAAUACGAAAUCUGUGUCGAUGGGUGUUUAAAUACUUUAGUUAUAUAUUUUUUAAUUUUAUUUUUAAGAGGGAGAGAGAUGGGGACAUAAAAAGUGCAUGUUAUACUCACGAGAAAAUGCACCGAGCUUUGGCACACAUGAUGGACAUGGCACCUCUCUCUCUCUCUCUCUCUCUCUCACACAACCGCGUCUUAGUUUAGAGACACGACGGAGUGACACGUGGAAGCUUCUCCACCGCAAACGUGUGGAGGAAAAAGUCAACUCAUUAGGAGAAAUUCCUUGGUGUAACAGUAAAAAAAGAAAGAAAGAAGGAAAAAGACAAAAAAAGAAAAAUAUAUAGCAGUCACAGGAGAAAUAUGGCCUGUGUAAUUAAUCAUAUAUUUAGCUUUUAAAAUUUGGGAAUAAUUACCUAUAUAUCCUUCAAAUUUUAAAAAAAUCUCAUUUAUUUUUUUUUCAAUAUACUCCUUAUAUGUUCUUCCAUUAUAGCUACCAUCCGUUAAGUUAAUUUAGAUUAUAAACGGGAGUUAAGUAUUUAGUAGGGUUAAAAAAAAUUAAACUAUCUCUUUUGUCCUUAACUUAAGGACAAAUAAGAAAUAUUUGUGCUGAUAGAAGAGUACAUUUGAAUAUAACAAAAAUCAAAAUACUCUUUGUACGACUAACUUAAGGACAAAUAAGAAAAGUCGGUGAUGAUUUGAAAGGAUAAAAUAAUAAUUUUAUAUAAAUAAUAGCUAUUGCUAAUCGUUCAUUAAUGAAAUUUAACUCUAGAGGUAUAUUUGAAAUAGUUAGAACGUAAGAAAGGUAUUUUUAAUAUUAGCUUUCUAAAUCAGAAAGUGAGAACUUUUCAGGGAUAUAUAAGUAAUUACUAUUAAAAUUUAUGUAUUUUAUCAUAAUUUUUGUUAAUUUUUUAAUAUUUUUUUUUAAAAAAAUAUAAUUGGCUGGAUAUAAAUAAUGUGACGUAGAUGUUAUACAUUAGACUUUUUGUGUUACCGUUGACUUCAAAUUAUCGUGAUGCUUUGCCCUGGUCCACCGAGUCAGCUGUGAACCGGGCACCAUGGCAUAGUUCUUUUUUAGAAUUCAAAAAAUAUUUUAUCACUACUUUUACUUAUUUAGAUUUUAAAUUAGUAAUUAAAAAAGGCUGGUGAUUUGAAACCCCACGCGCGCCUUUAAAAUCAGUGGUUCAGCCUCUCGUUUGUCGAAAAAAUAAAAAUUUCCAUCAUUAAAAGAAGUAAUAUGUGAGAAUCUUCUACGUAUCUUCAUUUUAGAGCUAAAUAAGAAGCUUUAAAUUAAAUUUUUACGAUUCAAAAUUCUAUUUUAGUUUUCCUUGCAUGCAUUUGAUCCCAAACGGAGCCUAAAUAUACUCAAUUGCUCAUUACAUUUCGUAUUUAGCUUUUGUGUUUUAACAAUCAAUUAGUACAUAUAUAUUACCGUUAGAUUUACUUCUCAGAUCCAUUUCAAUCAUNAUAUAUACCAAUCCACAAAAUCAUAACUAGAUAUCAUCCUUUGAUCAUGUUUGAACAAUUUAGGAUUAUUUAUUUAUAUUUAUAUUUUUCUAUAUUUGUAAAUAUAUUUUCCAUAACAAAAGAGCUCAAACUCAUUAGUAUUAAAAAAAAAUAUUAUUUCUAAAUGAAAUAAACAAAACGGGUAGUGUGACCUAUGUCCCAAAAAACAUAUAUAUAUGAAUUUUGUUUUUCAAAUUUUUGCUAUUGCAGGAUGGAGACAGUUGGCAUUAAAUCAUUGGCUGGGCAAGCGAAGGUUGCAGGUACAGUGCUGUGUGUUGGGGGGUCCAUGCUGAUGACAUUCUACAAAGGGAGCCUCAUCAAGCUGUGGCCCUCCCACAUUCACUGGAGAUACGCUGAAAACGCGACCGCCGGCGGCGGCGGCAGCGGGAACAUGGCCCUCGGUGCCGUGCUCGUCAUCGCCAGUUGCUUCGCCUGGUCCAUCUGGUUCAUCAUUCAGGUAGUCAUACGAAAUGGAAAAAAAAGUAUAAAACUUUUUAGCUAUCGAUCGUUUUAAUACAGUCUCAGAAUGGUUAUCCGAUCGCUAGUUAGUGGUUUAAUUCUUCAGAAUUGAUAUUCGUCUCAAAUAUCACAUCUUAUAUUUGAAUAAUCAGUUUUACGUGUGGUGAAACAAAUCGAGGAAACAUAUAUGAAGUUGUUUUGUUGUAUUUUAUUUUAUUUCUCUGAGGUUGACUUUGUCGAGUUUUUUUGCGAAUGCUUUUAAAGUGAUCGAUUUAUUCUGUUUGAAUAUAUUCUAUUAAAUGUGACAGACUAAGAUGAGCAAGAGCUUUGCCUCUCCUUACACGAGCACCGCGAUAAUGAGCUUGAUGGCCGGCCUGCAGUGCUCCGUCAUUGGCGUCGGCGUCGAGUGGCGUCUUUCUGCGUGGGCACUUGGUUGGGACAUCAGGCUCGCUGCCGUCCUCUACAUCGUAAGCAUCUUAGACCCUCCGUCCACAUUUGCUCUUUGCGGCUCGACCGUUUAGCCCCGAUCGACUUUACGAUGUGGCAUUCUACAAUUCUCAUACAGCUUCUCUCGAUAGCAGAGAAUAUAUAGGAGGCUCCGAAUAGGAGUCUCAAAUUUUGAGCUUUUCGCCAUUUUAGACAUGAAUUGCGAAGAUUCUUUACUUUUCUACUUGCCAAACAUUUUACAAGUAAUUGUCACCGUUGAGAUCAGAAACAAAAACUAGGCUAAACAUUUUCGAUUGUACACUCUCAAAUAUAUUCUCACCUUGAUCUUAUAUCAGGGGAUCAUUGGCUCCGGUCUCGCAUUCGCGCUCAUGUCUUGGUGCAUUCAAAAAAGAGGUCCCUUAUAUGUUUCGAUGUUCAGCCCUUUGCUACUCGUCAUAGUCGCAAUCCUCGGAUGGGCCAUCCUUGAUGAGAAGCUAUAUGUUGGGAGGUAUAUCUAAUUCCUAUAUGUAUAUAUUUUUCGUAACUUAUCAUAAGCCAACACUAGAACUUAUUCGGUCGGUCUAUUUUGACAUUCCGGCUUGGUCUUUGUACUUUCCACUCAAAUAAACACGUCAGUAUCGUUGCGAGUGUUCAAGUGUAAACAUUUAAGUACGAAGGUAUUUGAGUUGAAAAUACAGAGACCAAGUCGCAAUAUUGAGUUAAUACAGAACGACCCGAAGAAGAGAUUUUGAUAUUUCGCUUCUAAUUUGGUUCAUAUCUUUUCUCUUUUGGUAGCGCCGUGGGAUCGGCUCUUAUAGUUGGAGGACUCUACAUGGUACUCUGGGGGAAAGGGAGAGAGAUGAAGAAGAUGAUGAAUUUGGACGACAAAAUAGUUGAAGUAGUGCAACAAGAGAGAGGGGUAGUUGGCUCUCCUACCUUGCCUAUUUAUCUCAACAGCAGUAAUCAGGAGGAUCAGUGUGGCCAACCAUAGAAGGGGAUUUCCUUUUUCCUAUCUUCUGAAUCCUAGUUUGGGAUUGCAUUGUCUAGAAACAAAAGCAUUGCAUGUAUUCUGGGCUCUUAACUUGUGCAUGUACUAAAAUGUGAGAAUGACUGUGAACAACAAUUACAAAUAUCAUCAUCAUCAUCAUCAUGUCUUAUAAGACUCAUUAAAACAAAACUGGUGUGAAACAAAGUGCAAUAAAAAAGUUAAAACUUCAUGCUUGGCCCAAUGGGGGUAAGAAAGGGUGUUCCAGUAAGUCACAAGCCCAAGACUAAUUAGGGUUAGGAAUUAGGGGCCCUUUGGUUAGAUGUAAUGAAAAAUAUAGUAUAGUUAAAGAUGCGUAUAGCUGAAAAUACAACUAUUAUAAUUGCAUACAUCUUGUUCGGUUGAAUGCAAUAGAAAGUUGUAAAUAAUUUAUUUGGUUGCAUGUAGUUAGGAAGUCCAUUUUUACAAUUUAGCAUUUUAUAUAUGUGAGAGCGAGAUUACCUUUAAUUAAUUUAUGAUAAAAAAUAUUUUCUAGUUAACAACCGAUCAGACUUCAAUUUUAAUGGAGUUACAAAAGCAGCGCAGUUACAAUUAUAUACAACCAAACAACCCCAUAGUUGAGUUGGCGGAACAGGCAUUAUAAGAACAAACCAGCUAUGGAUUCAUCCAGAAUGCCAUAUAAUCUUAAGCCAAAUAUGCAGGUAAUUUUUUUGCUUCCUAGCCUAAAUCUUCUUCUUUUUUUUUGCAACUCUCUGCACAGCAAAUUCUCCAAACAUUUUAUUUCUAAUUUAAUGAAAAUAAUAAUAGAGUCGUUUAUGAUAUAUUUCUUUAAUUACUAAAUUUCAUUAAUAAGGAAAACUACAAUUUCGCCUAAACUCUUAAUUUGAAAAAAUAAAAAUAAAAAUUAAAGAGAUGCGACCUACAAAAACCAAACUUAGGGAUACUAAUUAGAAUGGCCUUUGAGAAUCACCAAAUCAUUUAACAGGAUUUUCACUAGCAAGUGAUGGAGGAUCAAAUUGAAAGUUAAAUAAAACGUUCGAUCGUAAAUUGUAAACUCUCUAAAUAAAUAAGAUAAAUUAUUCGCCAAGCAAUAAACUGUAUAGAAAUAAUUGCCGCAAAAUUAAGUACCCAUAUUCUUAUAUUCGCAUAGUUUUGUGUUGAUGUGGAAAAUAUUGUAUGUUGCAACAUUGAUGGAACUUUUGUUUUUAGUUUUUUAUAACUUAGCUUGGACUUCUAUUGACUUUUUAGUACUCAUGAGAGAUGUAGCAGCAGAGAGAGAAGCACGAUGAAAGGUUUUAGAAUAAUCAGAAUAUACGCGCACAACUUUUCAACUAUGAAAAUUUAAAAUGAUAUUCUCUACUUUUUUUCUUAUUUUGAAUUAAAAUUUGAUUUUUUUAGAAUUAAUAUAAUUUUAGUCCAAAAUUUUAAAAAAAUUAUUAGAUUUAUGAUCAUUUUCUCAAAUUUUGAAUUUUCAUUUGGAUCUGCAUGUUCCAAACGUGGUCGGAUUCAGCCCACUAUCCAUUCUUGGCGAAUUCUUUAACUAACCCGUCGUCAAUAACCGCCAUACCAAAGAUCUAACAAUUAGUAAGAACCAGGUCCACCACGUCAUCAGUGUAUCUCAAACGAUCGACUCUCCACAUCAUCCUUCUUUAAAAUCACAACCGUCCAAUAAAUUUCUAUUUUUUGAAAAUUUAAAAUGGAGAUUUAAAUAAAAAUCGAGCGAACCGCUGAUAAUUUUGGUCCACAAUGAGUUGGUGCACCAGGUUCAGAAAUAUAAUUUGUAUGUUUCUUCUAGGCGUUUCCCUUCACCCCACUUUCCUUCCCGAAAUACCCCAGGCCAAAACUCUUCUCUCUCUUCUCUCUUUCUCUCUCUCUCUCUCUCUCUCCUCUUCCAUCCUCUCCAAUCCUCCGAACCCUCUCCUCGGACUCUUCUUCUCCCUCUCUCUCUCUCUCUCUCUCUCUCUCUCUCCUCCCAUCGCCAUGUCGCGUCUCCGCCCCUCCUCGCGCCGCCUCCUCUGGUGCGGCGGCGCUGCCGCCGCCGCCGGAAUCUUCCCAAAAUGCCCACACCACCACCACGUCCUCGGCCGCCGCCUACUCUCCUCCGCCGCCGCCGCCGCCGCCGCAGCCCGCCGCCUCCUCGACCCAGCCCCGCUCUCCCCCGAUCCCAUUCGUGUUCCACCACCUCGCCCCCUCGGGGGCGCUUUGGGGACCCUCCGCCGCCUCCACACGUUGCCGGAGCAGGUCUCCGGCGCCGGCCUCGGAGGCGGGGACAAGACCUUCGAGACUAUCUGCAUCCACGGGGUCGGCGCGAGGCCUCUCGUGGUGGAGAACGUGGCGGCGGCGUCCGGAGCCCUAGAGGACGACGAGGAGGAGGAGGCUAGGGUUAGGGUUAGAGAAUCCGAGGUGGGAGAAGAAGGUGCCGUAACCCUAACGGAAGAGGAAGCUAAAGUCAAAGAGGGUAGCGGCAGAGACGCGAUUUUGGACGGAUCGGAGGUCGAAUCGGAGGCGAGGAGGGAAAAAGAGGAGUCGGCGACGGAGAAGGAGGCGUGGUGGCUUCUGAAUAGGGCGGUGGUGAGCUACUGCGGGAGCCCGAUUGGGACCGUGGCGGCGAACGAUCCCGGAACGGUGAACCAGAUGCUCAAUUACGACCAGGUUUUUAUCAGGGAUUUCGUUCCCUCCGCCAUUGCUUUCCUCCUCAAGGGAGAGGGCGAGAUCGUUCGCAAUUUCCUACUCCACACCUUGCAGCUUCAGGUUAAAUAUCUUCUAUUUUUUCGAUCGAAUACCUUGUUAGGCUAUCAUAUUGGUACUAUUGUUGUUUAGUAACUUCUUUUUAGGGUUGGCAAUUUUGCUGAAUACUUGGACAUAAUGUGCUUAAUAUUUUCAUGAGAAUGUUUUUUAAGUUGUUUAAUUUUUGUUGGUAGGAUGUGAAGAAUUCUAGUAGUUGCUAAAUCUGGCAAAUUAAACUGAAGUGAAUUGUUAGCACCUACCAGAGAACUCAUUGGCGCCGCACUAAAUGAUUCCUAAUUGCAAUGAAAGGUAGCUAAAAGAAGUAAUCUUAAGAAAAGCUGUUUGUGAUGCACUAAUGGGCAGUAACCUAAUAAAGAUAUAUACUGAGAAUUACUUUAUUCAUGAAGGAGUUCCGUACUUUGUUAUUACAUAAGUUUUAGUAGUAGUUGAUGAGCCAGUUAGUUCAUUUUUCUUGUCGACACCAUUGAAUGAUCUUGGUAUGAGGAAAAACAAAAAAUAUUAUGCGUAAUUAAAGGUAUUGAACUAUGACAUCCUGUUACUCUCCGUAGACAGGACUGUCUAUAUGCUUUUAGAUCUCAACAAAUAUUGAAUUUCGAAUCUCUCAACAUAUGAAUUCCUUGUAAACUACAAUCCCUGCAAACCUGCUAAUUUCAAUUUUCUCACGUCUAAAUGGUUUCUAUGCUACUUGGUGAGCAGAGUUGGGAGAAAACUGUGGAUUGCUACAGUCCUGGCCAAGGGCUAAUGCCUGCUAGUUUUAAGGUUAGAACUGUGCCUUUGGAUGGAAGCAACGAAGCGUUUGAGGAGGUUUUGGACCCUGACUUCGGAGAAUCCGCUAUUGGGCGUGUAGCACCUGUUGAUUCUGGUGAGUAUAUGCUGUGUACUUUUAUAGCUUUAUGAGUGUUUCUUGUGUUUAUACCUCCGCAAAUAUGUAAAACUGCAUAAAACCCGUACAAAACCACGUACAUGAGCAUAUCUCUGAGAAACCUUAUGUAUUUCCAUUCAUGACCCUGCCGUGGUAUCUAAGCAAAAAACUUUUUAAGCAAAUAUACCCCUGAUAUGGCAUGGAUGCAAAUUUAGGUUGUUCUUAGGGGUACACACGCAAACACCAACUCUGUAUGGGUAGGUGUGCAAUUUUGCAUGUUUGUUGGAGGCCAUUCUGUAAUGGCAAAUGGAUCUGUUAUUACAUAGAAUCAAUGGAUAAUUAGAGGGAUCUAAUGGUUAUCACUAUUGUUGCUAGGACUUUGGUGGAUUAUUUUGCUGAGAGCUUAUGGGAGGAUUACUGGAGAUUAUGCGCUGCAAGAGAGGGUUGAUGUACAAACAGGCAUUAAAUUGAUUCUGAAUUUAUGUUUAUCAGAUGGAUUUGAUAUGUUUCCUUCUCUAUUAGUCACUGAUGGCUCUUGCAUGAUUGAUCGACGGAUGGGCAUUCAUGGGCACCCUCUUGAGAUCCAAGUAAGUUGAUAUAGUACAUUUUCACUUCAGUGUUCUGUACUGUCAUUUAUAUCAGUUAGGUGCCCUAAGCUUGCUAGUCUAGUUUCUUUGGGGACCUUUCUAUUAAUCCUAUUAGAAUUUGUGUUUGGAUGGUGCUUAGGCUAUAUAGUCCUCAACGGUGCUUAGGCUAUAUAGUCCUCAACGGUGCUUAGGCUAUCUUAUUGACAUGCGUUUUCCUUUUGUCCCAAGUUGGUCCAUUCAUAGUUUGUUUGAUUAGAAAAUGCAGAAAGAUAGCUGAGGUAGCUUUUUUUUUUUUUCAUUUAUUUUCUGUCUUUUUAAGUUCUUUCCAGUCAAAUUACAUGAUCUGCCAAAAAAAGUUUAUAAUCAUUUUUCACUUUCUUAACAAAAUUCAUUUUGCAGGCUUUGUAUUAUUCAGCUUUGCGGUGCUCCCGUGAAAUGAUAUCAAUCAAUGAUGGAUCUAAGAACCUCGUCCGCGCUAUUAAUAACAGACUCAGUGCUCUUUCCUUUCACAUCAGGGAGUACUAUUGGGUGGAUAUGAAAAAGAUCAAUGAGAUAUAUCGUUACAAAACUGAAGAGUAUUCGCAUGAUGCCAUUAAUAAAUUCAAUAUAUACCCAGAGCAGAUUCCUUCAUGGCUAGUUGAUUGGAUUCCUGAAAAAGGAGGAUACCUGAUCGGAAAUCUACAGCCGGCCCACAUGGAUUUUAGGUUCUUUUCACUUGGGAAUUUGUGGGCCAUAGUCUCUUCUCUAGCCACUGAAAGGCAAGCGAAGGGCAUUCUCAAUCUUAUUGAAGCCAAAUGGGAUGAUCUAGUAGCAAAUAUGCCUCUUAAAAUAUGUUACCCUGCUUUGGAGUACGAGGAAUGGCGUAUUAUUACUGGGAGUGAUCCGAAGAACACGUGAGUGUUUUAAUGGACUAUCGUCUUUUUAGUGCUUUCCGAACAGCCUCUUUUUUCCCAAAAAAAAAAAAAAUUACUUCAGGAGGUAUGGGAUGUUGUACACCUCUACGUAACCAAAUUAUCAAAAGUUCUCCACAAAAAAAAACAUUUGAUACAUUUAAGAUUAUUAAGAUUUUCGAACCUUUAGAAAUUGUGGGCAAUAAUCAUUUUUGUCUAACAAGAAGCAUUGCUUUAUGUGCAGCCCUUGGUCAUACCACAAUGGUGGAUCUUGGCCGACGUUACUAUGGCAGGUGGCUUUUCCAUCACUUUUGACUCAAUAUCUGCCUUUCCCAAUUAUAAUUCUGAAAUUCUGAAGUUUUCUUCUGCAUUACAUUUGUCAGCUCACACUUGCCUGCAUUAAGAUGGGCCGACACGACCUAGCUGAGCGGGCUGUCUCCUUGGCCGAGAAGAGGCUAUCGAAUGAUAAGUGGCCGGAAUACUACGACACCCGAUCAGGGAGAUUCAUCGGUAAGCAGUCGCGCUUAUACCAAACAUGGACGAUAGCCGGAUUCCUCACCUCCAAAAUGCUUCUAGAAAACCCGGAAAUGGCUUCGAUAUUAACAUGCGAUGAGGACCUCGAGCUUCUGGAAGGUUGUGCUUGUUGCCUCAGCAAAAGUGCUCGGAUCAAGUGCUCCCGCUUAGCUGCCCGAUCACAGGUCCUUGUUUAAAAGGUGGCCAAGUUUACCACCCCUACUUUUCUUUUUUCUUUUAAAGAAAUAAAUUACAGUGUACACGAGAGGAAAAAGAAAAAUAUAUUGAUAGAGGUGUUUGAUUACUUCGAAAACAACAAAGGGAUUCGUUUGUUCAGGUGAAAGUGGUUCACUUGCAUGUUAGUAUCUGUACAUUAAAUUUUCUUCUUGCCGGAUAUUUCUGUAAAUAUUGCCAACUUCUUACAUCACUAACUAUUGUACUGGACCAUAGUCGAUGCAACAGAUUUUGACAGAUCAGCAAAUUGGAUGAUUUUAGAGAUGUAAAGUUGUUUUAGUCAGCUAUAUAUAUAUAUAUAUAUAUAUGUAUAUGGAAUUAUGUUACUAUACUAUCGAUAGUACCAAAUGUUUGGUACUAUUAAGUUUUCGGCCGUUGGAUGAAAGGAUGUGCAAUUAGGAUAAUAGUGGUCUCCGGGUAGGAUGAUAGUGAUCUCCUGGUUGGAUGAUAAUGGUUCCCUAGGGUUGAGUGGAUGGUUGAUUGAAUAGUAUAAUCUAAUGGAUGGAAAUGAUCAAAAGGUAGAUCUAACGGUAGAAACCUCGAUAAUAUUAAGAGCUUGGUACUGUUGCUAGUAAAGUAGUUAGACUCAUAUAGAAUUGAGCUCGUACCAUUGAAUUAAAGAAUGUGCGGUUAGGCUGAAGUGGGACCCUUAGGGUUGAGUGAGUGGUUGGUUGAAUAAUAUGAUCUAAUGAGUGAAAAUGAUAAAAGGAAUAGAUCUAAUGGUAAUAAAUUUACAAAUACCAAGUGUUUGAUGUUUUUAUAAGUACCAUAGCCGGACUCUCUCUCUUUCUCUCUCUCUCUCUCUUUCUCUCUCUCUCUCUCUCUCUCUCUCUAUAUAUAUAUAUAUAUAUAUAUAUGAGUCUAUGGGGGAGUAAUUUGUUUUUUACAUGAACUUUUAAAAGUUUUGAUAUCACUUACCUUAAUCUUACAGAAGAAUUUCAUAUAUCAAACAUAUUUCUAGCCCUUCCUGAUCGAGUAUUUUGAGACCUUAUAGAAUAUUCUUCUAUCUGAUGAAUUGUUACAUAAUUUUGUUUGGCUGAAAAAUAUGUGUCGACUUCUGACAAACCUUGCCUGCAUACUCUGGAAUCAAAAGUUGCCAAAAUUUCCAAGUUCAGGUUUCCGUCGCAAGAUCCACUACAUUUCAUGUGAAAUCUAAAUGAUGGAUCUUAAAUGAUUCAUAGACUAUUCACCUAUAGUAAGAAGUUGUCAUGAAGACUCAAAAUGAGAGCACUAAGGCCACAGUAAACAAGUUAUCUGCAAUCUUUCCUCAGCUUGCUCACAGUAUUUGCUGUCGAAGCAGCGAACUUCCGUCCUCGGCUUUUGGGUGCUCCUGAUUUGCUGCUGCUUCGACUGCCGCUGAGCUGAAAAUCGAUUGAGCAGCCGCCGUUCCUCCGAAUUUGCGAAUUGCAAACAACUGCUUUCGUCGUCGAGAAGCGCUCUAAAGAGCAAGAGGAGAGAGGCCAUUUUCAUGCAAAGGUCCAUAUUUUCCUUUCACUGUGUUCGUAUGUUUUUAUAUCUGUCAAUCUCAAGUUAUUACUUGUACCUUAAUUUCUGGUAGAUCAUAUAAAACUGCUGUUGGGUCGCAUGUAAAGAUCGUGUGACCUGCUCGUUCAAAUAUUAAUUGCUCGGCUUCGUAACAAAAUAGAAACUAACCUCUUUUAAUCGGUCAAUGGUUGUUGAUCCACCUGUAUACUCGUCCGUUUAGGUGGAGUAUUAAAUUAAGUUAAUCUUAGUUAUGUUUGUGUAUUGUAAACUUUGGAAAGAAUAAGUACCUCAACUGUUCCUGGUACUCAAAAGUCUAAAAGACCGUUAUGCCCUUCUCUCAUCAUUCCUUUUCGCUUUUAUACCUGAAAUCCCAUUAUUAUCACGAAGAGAUGCUAAUCUUACAAUUAAGUCGUCCAGAUUUUUUCAAAUUUAAAUUCCCUUCCUCACCAGAUAAGCAAUUUUUUUUUAGAACAUGUUUAAACUAAAUUGCAAAAGAUCCAUACGUAUAUUUUAUAAGGCCCAUUAUGGAUCUGAAGCCCAGCCCAAUUCAAGGCCCAUUAGACCCCUCUCCCCCCGCGAGGCUACCACCAUCAUCAAGGCUCUAUGCGGACGCGGCGCCACCGCGCUCGCCCGCAAGGUGUUCGACGAAAUGCCCCACCGGGACGUGGUCGCCUGGACGGCCAUGAUCUCGGGCUACGCAUCCAACGGCCUGCACGACGAGGCGUGGGCGACGCUCCGCCGCAUGGCGGGCUCGGGCGCGGCGCCGAACGCGUUCACGCUCUCCGCACUGCUCGCGGCGUGCCGGGGCCCGGGGCGGCGCCGCGCCCGCGCUGCGGCGCACGCCUCCGCCGUGCGGCGCGGCCUCGGCGCCGCGCCGUACGUCGCCAACGCGCUCCUCGACGCGUACGCGUCCUGCGGCGACGGGGCCGUGGGCGACGCCCGGCGCUUGUUCGACGAAAUGGCCGAGAGAACGGCGGUGACGUGGACGGUUAUGAUUGCGGGGUAUGCCAGGUGGGGUAGGGCUGACGUGGCACUCGAGAUGUUCAGGAGAAUGGUCCUUGUGAGUAUAUUAUACGCGACAUGCAUUUACCAUACUAGAAAUAUGUUGGCCGGACCCGGUCUAUAGACCGGAAGAUAUGACUACGUUCUUCUUAGUGGGAGUGGCAAAUUGUGACCCGACCCGGUUCCCCAAUCAUGCCCGACUCGAAAAAUAUCCGGAUCUAGACCCGUAAUCCGCUUCGAAAAAUCAGGUGUUCUGAGUUCUAUAAUUCUUAUAGACUUAUAUAUAUACACCCCGAGUCGUUGAAUCCAACUCCUAAUAAUUGUUUAAAUAGACGUAUAUAUCUACGUUUGAAGCAAAUCUUACUACAAAUGUGUCAUCAAUUUUACAUUUUUAACAUGCAUAUGACAAUUCAAUCUUUUACAAAGCAGGACAGCGUCGAGCCGAGCCCGUUUGCUUAUUCCAUCGCAAUCAGCACGUGCGGCUCGAUCCGACACCCGACACUCGGUCGGCAGCUUCAUGCAGCCUCUGUUAAACAUGAUCUUAUUUCCAACACCCCCCUCUCCAACUCGUUGAUCGACAUGUACUGCAAAUGCACGAAAAUUCGCCAUGCAAAGUUGUUGUUCAACACCAUGCGUCGAAAAGACGUGAUCACUUGGAACACAAUGAUAGCCGGGCUCGACCGUCACUCUCCGCACGAAGCCCUUCAGCUGUUUCUCGAAAUGCGCGUGCAAAACAUGCGGCCGAAUUGCUUCACUUUCACUAGCGUCGCGUCUUCCUGCGCUAGUCUCGCAGUUUUACGAUGCGGGCGGCAAGUUCACUGCGCUGUGCUUCGGAGCGGGUUCGGAAAUAACCUGCAGGUAUGCAAUGCGCUUAUCGAUAUGUACGCCAAAUGUGGGAGCGUGGACGAGUCGAAAAAGGUGUUUGAUGAGAUGUCCCGUAGAGACCUACUAUCGUGGACAUCGAUGAUGAUCGGUUACGGGAACAACGGGUACGGCUACGAGGCAAUUCGACUGUUUGACGAGAUGGUAAAUGUGGGUAUCCAAUUGGACCAUGUUGUAUUUCUGGGUCUAAUCAGUGCUUGUAGCCAUUCUGGGUUAGUCGAAGAAGGAUGGGAGUACUUUAAUUUGAUGAAAACCGAGUAUCAUGUCGAGCCUAAUUUGGAGGUCUAUGGUUGUGCUGUAGAUCUGUUAGGACGUGCAGGGAGGAUCGAAGAAGCCUUUGAUUUAAUACAGAGAAUGCCGUUUGAACCCGGCGAAUCGAUUUGGGGGGCGCUUCUCGGAGCUUGUAAGAUGCAUAAGAAUGUAAUCUUGGGUAAAUUGGCGGCGAAAAAGAUAAUGGAGUUGAAGCCAAGAGGGGCGACGACUUAUGUUCUACUUUCGAAUAUUUAUGCUGCGGAGAGAGAAUGGGGUGAGUUUGCGAAGGCGCGGAAGGCGUUGAGAGGGACGAGUGAUAAAAAAGAGGCAGGGAUGAGUCGGAUUGAGGUUAGCGAUAAGUUGUGCAGCUUUGUAGCUGGUGAUAAUACUAGUUACUAUGUUGGUUUGUGCAGUGAUGUGUUGGAUAGUUUGGCUCGGCAUAUGGAUGAGAACUCGCAAUUGGAAUUUAUAAGCUGAUGGUGUUGCAUAGUGUUAAUUUAGAUAUAUAGCUCGGGAGCGCGGUGAAACUGUAUAUUGAUCUUAUUUUUCUGGACUUUGUAAAGGGCGACUUGCGUGAAUGCACAGUAUCAUCCAUCUUAGAUUGAUUUUGCGAAUAAAAUACGGGGUAGAGUUUAAGAAGAAGAUUCGGAAAUUGGUGUCUCAAGAAGAGGGUCUAUCAGUUUGCUCUUUGAGCUGGUACAUAGUGAAAAAGUUUUGGAACAACUCGGAGAAUAAGAAGUUCAACUAUCUGAUCCAAGUUGCUUUUAGCGAAAUCGCUCACCAGGUAUAGCUAAAUUAGUCAUUUUGCUUUUGCCAUUCUUUCCUUGCCGUUGAGACGUAACGUAACAAGGAUGUUUAUGGCUAUUAAUUUCAUGUUAAGAAUGUUAACUGGUUUUUUUUUUUUUUUUUUUCNUUUUUCGCCAUCUGGUAAUUUACGAAGAUAUACACUUAUCACAGAACAAAUACAUCAGCCUUGUUAUUGGCUUUACCACUUAGGAUGUACAUGCUAGAGAAGCAGACGAUGACGGCGCAAAUUGUCUUUUUACAAUUCAACUGUCCAACCUACACUUAUCUCAUGAGGAACAGAACUACAGAAGAGCCAAAAAGUCCAAGAUAUUUCUGAGGGGAGGGAAAACCACAGCCUCAGCUUUGUCUGAUGCCUUAUACUUGUGUUUGAUUCUUUCUCACUCCUCUCUAUCCUCUCCUUCUCAUUGAUUAAAACAAACAUGCUAAGCAAUUUAGCAUCGGCGUCUCCUCCCUCUCUCUUCUCAAAUUUCCUCCAUCGUCGGAAGCCCUGCUUUUCGCACUCUAAACCAUUGUGCAGCAGCCUCAGUAAGGAAAGAAGAAAAGGCACUAAAUUCAAAUGGCUCUCUAUCUCCUUUUCGCUUUUCGGGUCGGGGUUCUUCCUGGGCCCUCUUCUCGAUGGCCUGCAUUCGAGGGUCAAUCUCCAAGUGUACCGAAAUUGGGCCGUCGAUAUCGGCCCUCUUCGCACCAACAUCCUCGUACUGUUUCUUUCAAAUUUUCCCUCCAUAUAUAUUUUUUUCUUUAAUUGAAGUACAAUCUCUAUGGUUAUUAUUAGGUCCCUCUCCUCCUUGGGGCGUUUUACUGCACUAUCGGAUUGCUGCAGCUCUACUUGGAUGAAAAGGCCACUUCUAGUAAUGCAAAGCCUUCAGGGAGCUUGAACAAGGCGGCGAUAUCACUAAUGUGCGUAAUCUCAGUGGCACAAAAUCUUUCGGUAAAUACGUAUCGAGACGCCCUGAACUGUAGGCCAUUCUGAAAUAGACCGCUCAACUUUAUUUUCAAACAUUUGCUCGUUUCUGUUAAACGUAAUUGCGAUUCUGAUGAAUUGAAGAGCUUUACCGGCUUUAAAUCGAUCCAUUUUUCUCUCUAUUCUUUGCCGUCAGAGCCCUUGCAUUAUUCGUCGAACUGAGCGCUGAACUGUACAAAGCUGGAGUUCCGAGCAACGUUGAAGCCUACAUACUAUUUGCAGCAGCAGAAUUUUUGUGGCUAUUGCUGGAUGGAACAUGGCUAGGGUUUGCGCUCGCGUGCUUUGUCGGCAUUGCAUGCCCUAUUGCUGAGAUCCCAUUAAUGAAGUAAUUUGCCUAACAUUUUUUAAACUUCUGAUUAUUAGCUCAACAUUCUCUUUCAAAUCAUUUUUUGUUUUUCAGUUUUGGCCCACUUUUUUUCCUUUUCCAGUUAAACCUCUUAGGGGCAUUCCAUGCAAAGAUGUUUCAGCUAAAACCGAAAAAUGGCCGAAAAACGUGCCAACAUUUUUUUUAUUGAUUGCUGCUUCUGUAUCAUCAAAUAUUACAGGAUUUUUCACCUCUGGAAUUACCCAAAUGCUGAUAUCCAACUAUUUGGUGAGGUAAAACCCUCAUUUCUUUUCCCCCCCCUCAGUGGUUCUUCAAAUUGCUAAGCAAUGAGAAAUGUAUAAAUGGUAUUGUUUCCUCUUUUCGCAGGGGCUGAUCAGUUGGACAACUACCUGCUAUUUUGUUUACACUCCAUUUUUGAUCAAUUUGUCGCGUUGGCUCAAGUCGUCCUUCGCCGAUGAUAGCGAUCAAAUAGUUCAGUAGGCAUACAGCAGCAGCAGCAGCAGCAGCAGUUCCGAUGAAACAAUGGAUUUCUCAAAAAUGACGGUAUCGGAGAAGUGUCAUUUGAUUUUAUAUUAACACUCUCGUUCACGCCUUGGCUCAGAAUUUCUCAAUAAGCCCAAAUUGUUGACGUUGGGUCAAACUAGUUUUGGGUUUUCUUUUAACUACUAUUUAAACAACAGAACUGUUUACUGUUUGAUACAACAAACUCGAAACUUCUUGCUCUGAUCAUGUCUUGCGAAAGAUUUGAAUGUUCCAAUAACUUAAGCUAGCAGAGAAAGUAGUACCGUACCUGCUAUAGGACACGAAAGUGUACUCCGUAUUUAACUGAUGUACACGGAAACGAAUUAAAUACACAAUGUGAUCAGUUUAGCCUGAGGUGCUAGCUCAUUUAUGUGGCCAUAUAAGGUUACCUGUUUCAUUAUAGAAAUGAAGUAAUGCACAGCUCAAAGACAAUGAAUCUGGUUAUCAGCAAGAGUGACCAAAUAGAUACAUAUCUUCUUCAGUAGUAAUACUUUUUGGUACAAACUUACCGAAUUUAUUUGAACUAAGGACUAUUUUGAAUUGACUACUAAAUCUUUCAAACUUAGUUUUACUGUCUAAUUUUUUAAUUUAUUUGAUUUGAGUCGGCCAAUAAUAUUUUAAUUUUAAAAUCUGAAUGCGUUGUUUAUUUUUAUAGGUUUAGGUAGCAUACUUCAUGCAAUUGCUGCAAUUAUAGAUUAAUUAAGCUAAGUAGUAAUUAGCUUAUAUUUUGAAGUCAAAGUGUCGUUGGCCGGUUCAAAUCAAACAAAUUGAAAAAUUAGAUAAUAAAAUUAGAACUUUUAAAAAUUGGGCAGUCGAUUCAAAACGACCAUUAGUUCAUGUAAGCUAUGUACAUUUUUACAUAUUUUUUUUAGAGAGAAUGAUAGCAUGUUACUGCUUAGUUUAUUUUAAAAAAAAAUAAAUUUAACUAAAAAUAUAAAGUACGGGUACCAACCAACUAUAAAGUUUUUUAUCACUUGCGGUAGAGACGGUCGAUUUCUUUAGCCGUAACACUACUCUGGAUAAAUUACCACCCUAUGCAAUUUUCUCAGAAAUGGUAAAUGUACUAUAAUCCCUCUUGAGUUUAAAUUUGAAAUUUGUGAUAUAUAUAUAUAUAUAAAAACAAGAUGACAUAUUCUCUCACUUAAUGAAUGGCACAUCUUUUUGUCAGAUGGUAGUUGGCUCUUAUUUUAUUCUCUUGCACCAAAAAUGUAUACAAAACUCACCAAAUUCAAAAGCUUCAUUAAUAAGAACAUGCACUUCUCUUCCCUAACAUGGGAGCUACAGCACAAAAUAAAUGAUAGCAGUGCAGUAGCACAUUGUGAUUCUUCACCAUUUUGGGUAGCAAAAUUAUUAGUUACUAACCGACCGUCCCUGGCGUAAGCGACAAAGGACUUGGCAGUUGGUACUCGAGAUCCCAAGUUCGAAUUCUAAUUGAUUCACAUUUCCAGCUAAGUUUAUUUCUAAGUGAAAUAAACGAAACGGAUAACGUGCUAUCUAUUUUUUUUUUAAAAAAAUUUAUUAGUUACUAUUAUUGGCUAAAAAGCCCAAUAAUUGUUAAUCAGUAGUGUCACAUUAUUUCUUAGAGAUGAAUUAUUAGUUAUCUCGUGGCAGAAAAAUAAUAUGAUAAUUAAAAUAGCCACCACUUUACUAAUGUGUUUAAAAAAAUUACAUGGAGGUUAACAAAACAGUGAUUAAAAUAUAAAUCAAAGUUUAGUAUCUCAAUUAAAAUAAAUUAUAGUUUGAUGACCCAAAUUAAAGCCUAAAGGAGAGUUCUCUCCAAAAGUAAUAUGCCUCAUUUAAAAGAGUUCAAUUUGUUGCUCUUCUGAGGAUAUUAGCCACCUAAGAAAAGUGGGCUUUCUAUGUAUUUAGUAUGUUCAAAUUUUUUUUUUCACAAAUAACCUCAUAAAAUUUAUAAUUAUAAAAUUAGUCAUAUUCCUGCCACGUAAACGUCACGCGAGCAUGGCUGGAAGUCCAGAUUAAGUUGAACACGGUGAAUAAUUCACCGUGUUAGGACACAAAAUGAAUAAUUCACUAUGUUCAACUUAAACUUAUAUAACUUAAAUUUAUAUAUUGUAUAAGUUUAAGUUGAACACGGUAAACUAUUCAUGACGUCCAAACAACGGUGAAUGAGUGGUUCACAGUAUUCAACUUAUUCCAUACUCAUAUGACAUUUGCUUGGCGGAGAUAGGAUCAAUCUUGUAAAUAUAAAUUUUGUGAGGUUAUUUAUAUAAAUUUUUUUUUUUUAGUAGGCUAAAAUGCAGAAAAAAAAUCCCCCAAAAAAAAGUUCAUGGAAAUCAAGUUUUGUUCACUUGUGCAUCAAUCUUUGUUAGAAAGCAAAAAUGCAUCAAACUUUUCCAUCAUUCAAACUUAAUUACACCUUUGCACUCUAUCAAGUCCAUCGUAUCAAUUCCAUAGCUUUGUUAUUGUACUUUUAAGUUUUGGUAAAAAAGUAUAAAAUUUAUCCAAAUUAUAGUCCAUUUUUAUUUUAGUACUCAAAUCUUUCAAAAUUUGAUUUUAGAGGUUAGAAUUUUAAUUGGUUUGAUUUAAAUAAUUUGAAGAUUCUUCGGAUAUAAAAUUUAAGCUAAUUAAUUAUUUUAAUAAAUUUAUAGUUACACAGAUUGAAUAAAAUAUACUAAUUAAAUACGUAAAGAUACUAAAGCUUAAAUUAAAUAAACUAAAAGAUUAAAUAGUAAACUCAAAAUUUUUAAAAUUUAGACAGUUAAUUAAAUUUGAAUGAAUAAUAGUCAAGUUUUAUACAUUUUAUCCGAGACCGCACGCAUGCAUUUGAGUUCGUGCACCUAACUUAUGCCUCUCGGGUCCGACUAUUCAGAAUGCACUAACCAUAUGAGCACAUAUAUCGCGUCUAAAACCUGCUUCGUUCGGGUCCAGUUAUUUUGAGUGCACCAAAGAGUGUAGGAUCAUCAAAUCAUCAUCGGCUCUGAUAUCACUUGUUAGGAAGAUCUAAACCCAGGCCGAGCCCACGCGAGGCCGAGGGAGGAUGUGUUAUAUUUAAUAAAAAAAGUUUAAGCCUAUUAAUUAGGUCCGGACUGACUAGUCUAUAUAUAUCAACCAACUACUUUUUUAUGAAAUAGCUAAUAUGGUACAAUUCAUAUAUAAAUUCUUAACAGGAAAAACUGAACUACUAGCCAGCUACCACAUUAUAUGCACGCUCGUGCGCACGUGCACACACGCAUAUAUACAUAGAGAGAGAGAGUCUAACUAUACUGUUUUUAAAAACACCGAGCAUUUGGCGUUUAUAAGUUUUUUAUAGUUAGAUUUAUUACUUUGAUCAUUUUUAUCUGUUAGAUCAUAUUAUUCAACCAACCAUUCAUUCAAUUUUAUGGAGGCGCACAUCUCUUAAUAUAAGGUCUAAAAUAAUUUGUUUUUUUUUUUUUUUGAGAAAAAGAUAGCAAGCUACUUGCUUCAUUCAUUAAGUAAAAUGAACUGAGCGUACAUGAUGGAAGCAGCUAAGGCCUCUGAAGAAAGGCGAGGAAAGAGAUCGAAAAAGGUGCAAAAAGAUUACAAAAGCAAGAGUGGUGUCGGGAAGAUGGAAGUGUAAGUUGGAGAGCUAGCAAAUUGUUAUCGCAGCACGUUCCAGUCGCUCAUCAGAAGGUUGACCCGUUCAAGUGCCCGGCUGGCAUUGGCCGGUAUUGCCCGGAAUAUAGAGUUGUUUCUGUCCGUCCAAUAAUUUGGUAUUUUUAAAAGUAUAGAAAUCAAUUCUAUAUAUGUAUGUACACAGAGAGAGAGAGAGAGAGAGAGAGGGGCCAAAGUGGCCAAAGUGUAAUUAAUGUUAAUGAAUGACUACAGUACUAGCUCUCCAGCGCAAUUUAUUGAAGGGCUCCUUAAUAAAACCUCAUUGAGACAGUUUAUACGUAAAUCUUAUAAUUUGAAGGGCUCCUUAAUGAGAUCUCAUUAAGACAGUUUAUUCGUAAAUCAUAUAAUAAUUUACUCUGCGUCCAAAUCCUAAUAAGGUCUUAUUCCAAUUGAAAACCUAUUAGCUUUUUUUCCCCUCUUUUUUUUUCUUUUGUGUGUGUCCGGCGGGGGAUUGAGUUUUUUCUUUUUUUUUAGAAAAAGGUAACACACUAUCUGUUUUAUUCAUUGAAUUUAUGAAUUAGGCUAUAUGGAUGAGGCAACGGUAGUCUCGGGUGGGAGUGGAAAAAAAAAAAAAACACUCCCUACAUCAGAGCCUCCGAUUAGCCCGAAGUAAAAAUUCCUAAAGGUUCAGAAGUUACUUAAUCCUCCUAAAUACAAGAAGGGGAUCCGGUCGAGCCUUUCUAAAGAUCACGUCGUUUCUAGUCCCCCAAAUAAUUCACUAACAUUGCGACCAAUCCGGUUAACUUCGGGCUCGUCGCUUGCAGUCCGGUCCCAGCGGACCAAUAAUGGGUGUUAAUGGGGCGGAUCAGAUAAGCAGUGCCGUGGACCAGAAUCCGCUAAGCCCAUUAAAUCAACUUGGGAUUCUAAUUGUGCAUAUAUUAAUACAUAUAUAUCUGGGCCCAAUGCAGUACAAACUGGGUCGUGACUCGAAAUCAGAUUAGGUGGAAACAACAUUAAAUGCAUUGUCCCCCCUGAUAAUUAUGCCACGUCACUGUUAUGCCAUAAAUUCUAUUCUUUUACACCCUCCUCUUUGUGAAAAAUUCUAGAAUGCAACGGGUAUAUUAGUGACGUGGCGUAACAAAUCAAUCAAAUUAAUUUUUUUAAAAAUAUAUGUUCCAUCAUGAUUAUAAAAAAAUAUUUUUAUUGUACUUUUGUUUGAAAAGAAGGAAUGUGAUUGGCUUGUUAUUGAUGACGUGGUGGUGCAAGUGUGACAGUGUAGAAUUCCUCCCUCUUUGGCAACAGGCCAACAACUAACUUAAACAAAAGGACUUUUUCUUUUUUUCUUUUUUUCUUUUUUUUACAUUUAGCCCUUUAAUAUUUUUUUUUUUUACAAAUAAUCUUAAUAAAUUUAUAAUUGUAUAAAAAUAUAAAGUAUACUAACUAAAUCUUUAAUCAUAAAAAAUGACGCAUUCCAAGUUUCAAGUCAACAUGCCCUCAACGAACUCAAAUCAACAAACUGAAAAAUUAAAUAGUAAAAUCAAAUUUUUAAAAAAUGGAGUAGCUAAUUCAAAAAGAUUUGUGGCUCAGAUAGUUCCAAUACCUUCUUAUCUAACUUUCACCUGUUCUGAUAAUAUUUAAAACAAAUACAAAUCUCGUCUUAGGACCGUACCCGACUAAAAUAAACAUGAAUCCACUCUGAUGGGAUUUUUGUUCUAUUACGACUAGGCUAUCAUAUUGAUCUCUGAGUCUCAUUUCAUAACCAUGUCUCACUAGAAACAAGAAUUUUAAAUAACUUUAUACUAAUGACAAAUUUAAGAUUACAUGGGAAAGAAAAGCACAUUAGUUGCUCUGUGGAGGGAUCUGAAUUCCAGAAAGAAAUAUACAACUACGACGGCGCCGAGGUAGACCAUGUAGAGCCGGCCAAAUAUCCGAAUUGGAACUGCGGACGAGACCAGAAUUACCACUUCUUGAGUUCCAUACCUUCAGGUGGNAUAUAUGUAAAUAUAAAUUUGUUAGAAUUAUUUGUAAAAAAUUUUUUGUGAGGGCGCUAAAUGUAAAAUAAUCCCAAACAAAAAUAUAGAAAUUUGUUUUUUUUUUUUUUUGAGAGAGAUAGAUAGUACGCUACAUUUUUCGUUUAUUUCAUUAAAAAUAAAUUUAGCUAGAAAUGUAAAUCAAUUAGGAUUUGAACUUGGGAUCUCGGAUACCAACAAUCAAACCUUUUGCCACUUACUUUAGAGAGUAGGAAAUAAUAUUAUUGUUGUCAUUUAGUACAAAGAGUGUGCGGUUCCUCCAAAAAGUAUGACAAUUUAUUAAUUUUUUUAAAAAAAUUAUGAAAACACAUUAUACUUUGAAUAAAAAAAAAUCUAGAAAAAAAUUACUUUUUUGAAAUUUACAAAAAAAAAAAAAGUGUUUUAGGAAUAUUUUUUUUUUCUAGCGACCAAAUGGGCAGAAACUUUUUUUUUUUUCAGCUAAAAAAUUAUUCCGUGACACUUUUUGAAAAAGAAAGUAGUUUUCCUAUGCACGAGUCUACAAAAAAAAAAAAGAAGCGAUUCUUUUAAUCGAUUCAUGCACACAAUAUUACAUUUGAAAAAUCUUGUUUUUGUUUAUUUCGUUAUAAUUAAAUGACGAUUCCAUUAGCGAUAUCAAAAUUGAUAAAUAUUUUUUAAUACAAGUGAUAUUAAAUUUGAAAAAUGGCUCUUUUUUUUAAUAUAUAUUUUUACUAUUAGAUGAGAGUUUAAAUCAUGUUCUUGUAUACAUACUCUCCGAUGCUCCCCCACGGCCCCACAUUAUAUUGCUAAAGUAAUUAAUGGAAACAGUGCAUGCACAUGACAUGGCCAGCAAAAUUUCAGUGUAUGUCCAUGACUGGAUAAAUGUUACCUUUACUAUUCCUAUAUUGCAAUUUGGUUCAAGUUAUUUCAAUUAGAAUAUUUUAGUUUCUAAACUCUCGUAUGUGUUGAGCUGAAAUACUAUCAGUAGCAAACGAAUUUCGUUGCCACCCAUUUAUUUUCGAUAAUGAAGCUUCCAAAUCGACGAUCGGCACCGUUGAACAUGAUCUAUACUACCUGAAGCAUCAAGAAACUAAAUUUCAUGUUUUUUUUUUUUAUAUAGUUUUCUUAUCCAUCGAGUAGAUGCAAAAAUGAACGGUUGAAAAUAAAUAUUCUUUAAAAAGUGAUGAUAGGAGUUUAUAAUCAAGAUCAAGAGUAUAGAUCUUAUUGUAAAUAGUUUUAAAAAAUUUCUAAUUAAAAUUUAAUUGAUUUGGAUAUCUUUACGCCGUUAAACGAGAAAACGUCUCAUAUUGGCCGUUAAAAUUAUAGAUUUUGAAACCCUUUGAUCAUUAGUCUAAUGAUGUUGAAAAGAUUUGAAAUUUGAUUUCUAGAUACUUAAAGUGGUAUAGAUCAUGUUCGAUGAUACCGAUCGUCGAUUUGGAGGCUCCGUCAUCGAAAACAAAUCGAUGGCAUCAGAGCCUUUUGGUCCUGAUAGCAUUUUAGCUCAACUCCUCUUAUUUAUUCUGUGCGCUAGUCCCUCACUACCUAAAAAAAUAAAAGUUAAAUAAUAAAACAUUCAAAUAGUCCCUAUAAUUUUAAUUUAAACACUCAUUAGUUUAUGAUCCAGCACUAGUUUCUGAUCUUAAAUUAGGUUUUUUUUUUUUACACUAAUAAAGGAUAAAUUACUACAUGCAAAAAAAAAAGAAAGGAAAACUUCAAAUACCCCUUCUGUGGUUUGGCACUUUUUCACUUUAGUACCCUGUGGUUUCAAGUGUAUCAAGUUAGUACUAUGUGGUUUCGCAUUUUCUCACUUUAGUACCCUAUGGUUUCAAGUAUAUCAAGUUAGUACCCUGUGGUUUCAAUUUUCUCUUUUUAUUAUCCAUUUCGGGUUAUAUAAUUUAACGAAAUAUUAAACCACAGGAUACUAAAGUAAGAAAAUACGAAACCACAUAGUACUAAUUUGAUACACUUGAAACCAUAGGGUACUAAAAUGAGAAGGUGCGAAAUCAUAUGAUACUAACUUGAUAAACUUUAAAUCACAGGAUAUUAAAAUGAGAAAGUACGAAACCGCGAGGGGAGGUAUUUGAAGUUUUUUCUAAAAAAAAUAGAGAUCAAGUUGCAAUAUUAAAAUAGUGCAGGAACUACCAAGUACCAACACACCAAUGAAUGAACACAUGCAUCACCCUGGAGGGUAGGGCAUGUUGUAUGGUUUUUAUGGCUAGCUAGCCACCAAAUUGGCCACUGGCAAAGUCUGAUCUGAUUCAUGCUGAUCUCCCCCACCCCAACCUCCUUAAAUUCUACAAUGAAAUCUACCAACCCUAAAGCCCAUGUGUAUUUAAUAUUUUAUUAUUAUUAUUAUUAUUAUUAUUAUUAUUAUUAUUGCAGGAAUCUUAAUUAGCAUUCACUACAUGCCAUGCACAAUAACAAUCCCUUUGAAAUGAAAGGAACUUAUUAUUAUUAUUAUUAUUGUUAUUAUUAUUAUUUUUGCUUCUCAAUAAAUGAUGAAGGAAUUAUUGUCUUGGAAGAAUUGGCUAACUCGUUUAAUAUGGAAAUUGAUAUUGUCAGAGCAGAGAUAUUAUUUUUAAUCACAAUUUAAACAUGUUUGCUCUAGAAAUUAUUGAAAUUGUUUUGAUGAUAUCAAUUUUUUAUUUAAUUUAUAUCUCAACUUGUACUUAUUACUAAAAUAAGUAAUUCUUACUUAUAUCCGAACCAAACGCAGCUAUAACGAAUUACAAGUAUAUUCCUACAAACUUCAACUUUUAACUCUUAUUCAUGUAAAAGUUGAGUGAUAUUCAUAUUUGUUUAUCUGGUUUGUUAUCGUUAGAAAACUGUUUAUUUUUUAACAGCAGAUUAGUGAAAUAUUAAUUUAAUUUGUCAUUAUAAAUAUGUCCAUCCAAAAGCUCCAACUGCUAUAAUCGUGCAGAAAUGUCUCCCCAAAAAUUUUUCAAUGGUCAUCUUCUUCCUCAUCUUCUUUUUCUUUAAAAUCCAAUCCAAUUCACCAUUGUUGCAACCCUUUCUCUCUCUCAUUUUCUCCUAAAUUUUUUUUUGAGCAAAAUAAUAAAAGGUUAUAGAAAAUAUUGAAUGGAAAAGCAACAUAGUUCGUCGUAGGCGAAGCAACACGCGUCAUAGAUGAAUAGGGACAGAGAAUUCUAAUUAUGGAUUCGAAAUUAGUAUGAAGGAGAGAGAGGAAGAGAAAGAGGAAGAAGUUCUUAUUGUUAGGGUCUCGAUUAAGAGAAGAAGGUAUAAUAUAAGAGGGGUAAACAUAUUAAUUUAUCUCAUUAACUAAUCAGGAUUAAGUAAUUUACCUAUGAUUACCCAAUUUUUCUAAUGGAUCCCAACGGCAGUGGCAUAUUCGAAAACUCAGAACUUUUGUAAAAAUAACAUAAAAAAGUUAAACUUUAUAAAAAUAUAUUUACAACUCAUUAUAUUUGCAAUAAGCUGUAUGCAAUUAACCUUUCCUCAAUAGCUGUUAGUUAGACAAAUUAAAUUUAAGUGACCGUUAAAUAUUUCUAAACAUUCAAAGGAAAGGAAAAAAUCUGAAAUCUUAAGAGCCACAUAAUAGUCACGUCCUCAUGGUAAUUCUAUUAAUAGAUCAAAAAUAAGUUGGAGUUGUCGAUUAAAAGUAGAGUCGUGCUAUGUUUUUCGAUUCGAUUGAGCAAGCCGAAUAGACUCGCUGAAUCGGAGAUCGCAUUGAUUAGGGAGGGGGUGUCGGGAUGUACGUCGUUUGGUCCUAAACCGAAAGCCAAGCCAAACCAAACCAAACCAAAUAAGACUAUUUGGAUCGAUUUAUAUAGUUUACGGCUUGAUUUAAUUUUGAAAUUUACUAAAAUUUGAUCUUUUAUUUCGGUUUUGGUUCGGUCUGAACAUGUUUUUUAACCAAACCGAAUAGUAAUAUUUUUUUCACGCAUUGUGCCUAAGCUGUUUAUUAAAAUUUUAUAUUUAUAAAUUAUAAUGAUUCAAGUUUUGAUCUUAAAUUAUAAAUUAAUUUAUAAAAAAUACAAAAUCUAGAAAUUAAUUACAAAACCGAACCAAACCGGAUCGGUUUUGAGUAUAAAUCGGUUUACUUUGGUUCUAACAAAACAUACGGUUCAAUCUAGAAUCUGCCUCAAAACUAAACCAACCAGAGAGUCGAUUAACCGACCGUCCCUAGAGCAAGUGGCAAAGGGCUUGAUGGUUGGUAUUCGAGAUCCAAGUUCGAAUCCUAGUUGAUUCACAUUUCUUGCUAAGUUUAUUUCUAAAUAAAAUAAACGAAGCAUGUAGCGUGCUACCUAUCUCUCAAAAAAAAAAAAAAAAAAAACUAAGAAAGUCGAUUACAACCUCUAAGAGAGGCAAACCUUGUUGUAUAAGCCCCUUUAAGUCUAGGAUGCAAACGGAAUUCUGGUUGUGGAGUUCCCAUCCGAUCCGCUCCGAAUGGAUAUGCAAAUGAGAACAAAUUAUAAAAAAAAUAUUAUCCGCAAUGGAAUUCAUCCUGAUCCGCGAAGUAAAUGGAGCCGAAGGCAGGACGAACUUUUUUUUUUUUUUUUGGAUCCGUUCCUCGAUCUGCUAAAUAUUCGUCAAAAAUUCGCUCUAGUCCUAAUCUAUCCCAAAUAAAGCAGUAAGUAAAAACAAAGAAUUAAAAUUAAUCUACUCUGAUCCUAUAAAAAAACAGAGUGUUAGCCCAAAAAUCCCUCCCGCCUCCGGAUCUGCCCGUCUGCAUCUUACUUCCAUCCACGUUGUAUGGUAUUAUUGUUAAGUUACAUAGUAUUAUUUUAAGCUCAUUAAAGUUUGAAUAGUGAAAUGCAAUCAUGCUAUAAUAUAGACAUAAAUAAAUUAUUAUAUAAUAUUUCUUGGGACCAGAAUCAAUACUCUCUCCACCUACUCCACUCUAGGAUAUUACGAAUUUUGGCUUUUCUUAAAUGAGUAUUAAUUUUCAUGCAAUUGAUAAGACAUUAGAUUUUUUUGUUUUACUAGGUGCUCUAAUUGAGAUAGUGAUCCAAAUUUUUAUUGUGAAAAAAGCAUGUUCUUUUUUAACGAAUUCAAUCUAAAUUGUUUAAAUUCUCUUCAAUUCCGAUGAAAGAUUUUUAAGUAUAUCCUUUUUAUCAAGCAAAUAGCAUGUGAUGCACCCAAGAUGGCACGAAACAUGCUUCAUUUCUAGAUUCUAACAUCCUCUCUUUUGAUGAAUUUGUGGUUCUAUGGCUGUGAUUAAUAGUACAGUAUGAAAUCCAAACAUUUUACCAUCACACUGUUGAUUUAAAAGGGUCAGUAUCUUGUCCUGUCGCAGAAGAUUAGGUUGGACUGAGCCACGUUCAAAAUGACAGAAGGUCUGAUUGGGUCGAAGCUAAAGCUGUCCAAAAUAUGCAAUAUACCAUACCUAAUCCAAACCCUACCUGGACCUUAUCUGGACCAGAAUCGGAUCCAAUAAAAAAUAAAUAGUAUACGGGUAAAAAAAAUUACCCAUUAAAAUUUCGGUUAUGAGAUCGGAUAUUUUAUACCAUACCCGAUUUGGACCCGACCCGAACCCAACUUUUAAAUGGGUAAGGUCUGGAAUAGUUUUCAAAUUUGGACUCGGACUCGAACGAUGAAAUAUCCGAUAGUAAAUAAAAUUUUUUUAAAAAAACUUUUGAAGUUGAGAGAUCAAUUUUAAUAGGAUUUAUAUAUGAGGGGUCUCUAAGUAUUUUCAUCCUACUUAAACACUGAAACCCUAACCUUUCUUUUAUUUUUUUCUUUUUUCUAAUUUUUUUACUCUUUGUUUUUUACUUUUAAAUUUUUUUGUUUCAUUUCUACCUAAGAAUUUUUUAUGAAAUAAUAUUUCCAUCGUCAUCAUCAUCAGCGAUAUUAAUCCUCUACAGAUGUGGCACGAGUGAGUUUUUUCCAAAUCCUUUUUCCAUCAUAGUCGACAAUCUAAUUUUUUUAAAUAAAUAUUCUAUUUAGUAAAUUUUCUGACUCUUCUUUAUUUUUUUCUCUUUUUUUUGAAUGUGAGCAUAUAAUAUUAGUAAUUACUACAACUUAUGUUCUCUUUAUCUAUAAUAUGAUAUCAUAAUUUUUUUAUUUUUGUGUGUUUACAUAUAAAAUUAUUUUAAAUUUUAGACUUUUAAUCAGACAAUAUAAAGGCCAAAACAAGCUCUACCCAGACAAUUUAAUAAAGCCUAUAAAAAAGUUUAUGUAUGCGGAUACCCAUACCCAAUUUGGAUCCGACUCGUAUCCGGUCUUGAACGGAUAACAUACGGAUAGUCACUAUCCAGACCUGCUCAAAUAGAUCCGAUUGAUAUAUUAACAACUUAAGUACCCAGAUCCGGACCCAACCUAAAGUUAAAUGGGUAGGGUAUAUUUUUUUUUCUAACCAUUAUUUUUAGGGUACGGGUACAGUAUAUUGAUUAUCCAAAUCCGAUCCAGUCUACAGACACCUUUAGUCCAAUCAUCUUCGAAGUAGCGUAAGACUGGUUACACUGAGUUACAAUUAAAAUCCAUGAGCGCUGUGUCGUUAUACUUUAAGCGAAUUGGUCGUCAGCCAUUCGAGUUUUUAGAAUUAAUAGACAGGUCCAACGAUCCGGCAUAUACUCCCUCACAUAUUAUAACUAGUUGGUGCAUACCAUCCUCUUUUAAUUCAAGUAUUAGCAAAAAUUUUGAGAAAAAGAGGGUGAUCUCUUCUAUGAUCAGCUUAUGUACAUAAAAAUGGGGGAAUGGAUGAGAAUGCAUUUAAUCCUUCUUCAUUCACCCAACCAACUUAUCACCCUGCAGCAAACUAUUACAGGCUGUUCCUUUUUUGUUUUUUUUGUUUUUUUGUUUUUUUUUUGGAUAGAAGGAGGGCAAUAUUUUGUUUUUUUCUCCAUAGAAGAAAUAGGAGGACAACAAAUUAAAUUAAUUACAUUCCAUUUUUGAAAUGAGCCUCUCAUUCAUUUUUAUCCACUCCUCCUCAAUUUUUAAUUUUCGGGAGUUAAGAGAUUUUAUUCAGUUAUUAGAUUUUUUUAUCAUCUUUUUCUUUGUACUUGGAUUAAAAUUAAUAAAUUUAAUUAGCCAUAUAUUGAUAUUAAUAAAAAAGAAUAACUUAAUUUUUUAAAAAAAUCAGAAAGAAGGAAAGAGGGUGUAAAAAAAUAAAUAAAUAAAAGAUGAAAAGACUAAUUCAAAAUAGCCUAUUCUUAUACUCUCACCCAACUUGUUGUUCAAAUAAGCAAAUAAGGCAAACAACCCUCAUACUAUUCUUCACUAAAUUUGUGGUCACAUUUAUUAUCAUUAUUAUUGGAGUCACUAUCAUCUACAAGUUUUUCCUCCUAUUGCACACUUUUUAAAGUGUAUCUUGAAUUUAAUAGUAAGUUGACCAUAACAUAGGUAGUUGUUUACUAGUAUAUUGGUUUUAUAGAUCGAACAUCCUUGAAACAGAAAUGAAAGGUAACUCAAAGACUAAUGUUCCUUAAUUUCAAAGUAAUAUUUCUAAUUAUUUUCACUAUAGGUGUAAACGGGAGUCAUAAGUUACAGUUGGAGCUGUACUACAGUUUGAAAAUGCGGCCUCGGUGUGACUUCAAACUACUCGCUUAUUUAAAGCAAGAAUUUAGGUGCCAUGAUAGAGUCAAAAAUUUAUCAGCACGACACGACACGAUGAGUGCCGAACCGUCCGAUACAUUAUCCAGAAGAUCAAUUCUGAUAAUAAAUAACACAAAAUAUAUUUGACGUUUUUCGCUCACAUGCAUAAUGAAUAUGAACAGUUGGUAAGGCGAGUGAUUACAUCACAUGCUCAUGCUUUUCCUCUAUCCUAGUGGGCAUCAUUUUGGAGCCUGAACUGAACCCUGCACAAAUUUGUUCCUUGUUUUGGGAAUUGGGACCCCCCCAAAUGAAAGCAUCUAAACUGAUUUUGGCGCCACAUUUCAUAUGUUUAGACUACAGCCCCUUGUAUCUCUCUCUCUUUCUCUCUCUCUCUCCAUUAAAUGUGAGAAGAGGUGCUCUUUCAACUGCUUAACCACUUCAUUACUGCAGGAGCAAGUCCUUCUCUAGAUCUCUCUUCUCUCUCUCUCUCUCCCAUUUGCACUACAAAAUCCAUGGAAAGCUCAUCCUUUUGAUGUGUACUUGCUCCUUCCUCUUUAACACCCUCUCUCUCUCUCUCUCUCUCUCUCUCUCUCUCUCUCUCUCAGCUUUGGAGAAAAUAGAUUAAAAAAAAAAAAUGAGUUGUUGGGUAUCUUAGAACAAAUUUUCCUCUCCUUGCUUUGCUUGGUUCGAUUGCUUUUCCUUUGAUUAUACCUAAAUUUGAAGAAUUUUCAUUUGGGUUUUACUCUAAUUCUUUCAAUUGGGAAAUUUUUUGAACAAAUGCACUUUGUGAAGAGAAGAAGUACCAAAUUUCGAAUGCGAAAUUUGUUUACUCUAUUGUCCCGAUCUUUUUUUCUUUUUUUUUUCCCUAGGGUUUUGUUUUGUUUUUUUAAGAAAAAGGUAACACGCUAUCUGUUUCAUUCGUUCAGAUAAUAAAUUUAGCUAAAUUCAUUUUCUAGGGUUUUGUUGGAUAGAGAAUGAGGAAGGUUUACACAGUUCAAGUGGAGAGCGGAAGGGCCGGGAAGGACGGGCGGCCGUCGGUCGGCCCGGUCUACCGGAGCGCUCUGGCGAAGGACGGUUUUCCUCCGCCGGAUCCCCGAAUGAGCACCUCAUGGGAUAUCUUCAGGUAUUGAUGGCAAACUUAUUAGAAAAAAGGAGAAAUGAAUUUAUUGUUAUAAGAACAAAACCAUGAUUUUUAAUCUUUAAUGUGUUUAGUCAUCUCCUUUUAGUUAGCUGUAAUGUUCUUCUUAAACUAUCUUGCUUAAGAAACUCAAUGCCCUUCGCAAAACUCGAUAAUAUGUGUUGAUAUGUGAAAUUCUUAUACUGCAGUGUGGCAGCAGAGAAGUAUCCGAACAAUAGAAUGCUCGGAUGGCGCGAGUUCGUGAAAGGAAAGGUAUGCAACUUAUGCGUCUUCUGGUAUUUCAUAAAGUAUCAAUUUUUUUUAAAAAAAUUUAUAGAUCAUUUAGAUCCUCGAGUAAUUCUUUGUUUUUGUUUUUUUUGUUUUGCCAAUGUAUAUGAUCAAAUAGCCAGGAUGCUAUAUAUGGAAAACAUACAAGGAAGUCUAUGAGGAAGUGGUUCAAGUUGGUUCCGCUCUGCGGCAGAUGGGCGCUGCACCUGUCAGAAAACCGACUUUCAUUUGAUAUUUUUCUGCUCCUUUCUUAAUUGUUGUGAUCUCACCUGUUCAUUCUGUCAGCUGCAUUCGGAAUUUCGCUGAAAUUAGCAGCUUAUCCCCCCUUUUCAGCUGACGAAAUUGCGUAUUCAGUUAACAUCGCCAUUAGCUUUUACCGAAUCUCCUAUUCAUUUGACAGAAUAACUAAUUACUAGGGCUGUCAAUCAGAAAAAGAUUUUAAGUUGUGAGUUUAUUUCGAAAUAUGGAAUAUAGUUGACGAAGGCCUAUAGAUAUUUCGUUUUCAGGUGGUAGUAUCUAAUGUUCAUAUGCCCCUGUUAUACUGAUGUUACAUUAAUCGGUUACAGGGUUCACGCAUAGGGAUCUACGGAGCAAAUUGCCCUCAAUGGAUAGAAGCAAUGGAGGUAACUCUAGAUCUGUAUCUAGUUUAGCAUUUCGAUGGUUUUAGACCGCAUUUAUCUUAUUUAUUGAUCAAGACCAUGUAGAAACGCUUUUAAAUUAGUAAACUCUCUCAUCUGCAGGCUUGCAAUGGAUACAGCUUAAUAUGCGUUCCGCUCUACGAUACUUUGGGUAAAUGAAUUUAUUCCAAUUCCUUCUUUUGUUGUUUUAAGUUCUUGCAUUGAAGAUACUUUAUCUUCUUUCCACAUGCAUUUCCAAAAGGGUUUGAGCAUACAUGUGAUGAUUUUUGUUACUAUACACUGUCGACCACAAAGCAAAUUUUCUGGUAACAGGGUCAGGGGCUGUUGAUUACAUUUUAGACCAAGCGGAAAUCGACAUUGCUUUUGUUCAGGAUAAGAAAAUGAAAGAAGUGAGAACCAAGUUAUUUUUCUGAGUCUCUCGUUCGCAAAAUGGUUGUUUUCAACACGAAACUGAAUACUCAAUUUUGCAGUUACUGUUCUCCGACUGUGCAUCUCUUCGGAGGCUGAAAGGUAAGAAGCGAUCGAUAUUCGUAUCUUGAUCAAGCUUUUGAAGGAAAAAUAAUCAUAGUGCUUAUUUAUUGAACAUGAUUGCAGUAAUCGUUUCAUUCACUUCGACUACAAUGGAACAAGAGGAAGCUGCAUCUAAAAUCGGAUUGCAAAUUUACUCAUGGAACGAUUUUCUUCGAAUGGUCAGUUUCUAGUUACUUAAUUCUCAAAUUGUGGAGUAUCUUACGCGAACUCUUCUAUUCCAGUGUCCCUUCGCACUGAUUCUACGAUGCUCCCUUAGUCGAAGCUAUUGUUUUGUACCGUUAAUACAGGGAAAGGAGAAUUUGUGCGAGCCUCUUCCUCCUCGACCUCUUGAUAUAUGCACAAUAAUGUACACAAGUGGAACCAGCGGAAACCCCAAGGGUGUGAUUUUGACCCAUGAGAGCAACGCAAUGUAUGUGAGAGGAGUAGAUCUCUAUAUGGACCUGUUUGACGACAAGGUAAAUCUAUUUUUUUGAUCAUUCGCAGUUACUAGAUAAUAUAUUUUCGGCAAUUCUUUGUGUUCUAUCCAUAUUGUGUCAUAAUUAGUCCCCGAAUUUUCGAGGAUCAGUGAUCAAAUUGUGGUAUACGAUAAAGUUCAGAGACAAACUUGCAAUAUCGGGAUAGUACAGUCGACAACUUCGACCAUUAUUUCUCUCUUCCUUUUAUGUAUUCAUAAGCAUGUAUAUGUGUUUUGUAUGUACGCAUGUAUGUAUGCAUGUACGUAUUUGUCGAUAAGAGGUUGAGAAGUUAUGACACAUUGUUGUUAUCAGAUGACAGUGGAUGAUGUCUACCUCUCCUUUCUCCCCCUCGCUCACAUUCUCGAUCGCAUGCUCGAAGAGUACUUUUUCCAUAAAGGGGCCUCUGUUGGGUACUAUCACGGAGUAUGUACAUCGUCUUUGCGUUACUUUCAUAAAUACAAAGUUUUUCAACUAAUUCUCCAUAUCUUAAAUAAUUUGCUAUAUUCUAUUACAUUUCCGCCAAAAAUCUACACUGAACCCUAUUUUUUUGUUGUAUUAAGGAUAUUAAUGCUUUGAGGGAUGAUCUCAUGGAAUUAAAGCCAACUCUAUUUGCCGGAGUCCCUCGAGUUUUCGAAAGAGUCCAUGAAGGUUUAUAUUGCUUCUUUAUAUAUCGAACAUUAUCAACCAUAUUAUUGCAACUCAGAAUUAUUUGUAUAUUUUGAUUUCUAGGUAUAUUAAAGGCUCUAUCGGAACUCUGGCCGCAUAGAAGGAUGAUAUUUAAUGCUCUGUACAAACAGUAAGUUGUUCUUUCUCUUCAUUUCUUACUAAAAUACAUCAAGUGCAUCGAUUUUAUUUUUAUCUGACAAUUGAAAUUUCAGUAAAUUAUCAUGGAUGAGAUCAGGAUAUUCACAUAAAACAGCAUCCCCUCUCGCCGACUUCUUGGCCUUUAGUAAGGUCUUAUCUUCUCUAUACCAAACAUGAAAGUUUUUAUUUUUUAUUUUUUUGCAAUAUUAUCUGUUAAAAAUAUUUUUCAUAAUUAUCUAAAUUGUCGGAAUUUUUCCUUUUUUUUUUCAAUUUAGAUCAAGGCUAGGCUUGGGGGCCGAGUUCGCCUAAUUAUAUCUGGGGGCGCUCCGCUGAAUACUGAGAUUGAGGAGUUCUUGAGAGUCACAAGCUGUGCUUAUGUUACUCAAGGAUAUGGUAAUUUACACAAAGCUGGUUUCUGAAGUUUUUCGACUAGCAUUCGUGUAAUCCUUUAUUACUACUAAGAAAUAUAUAUGCCCUUGUACUUAUUUCUAACUAGGUAAAUAGUUAUGGCCUUCUAAGUACGCGGUUUUGUGAUGCUUUGAUUAAUUAAUUCCUUAUAUGAUUCAAAUUUAUGUUCCAUCGGUCGUUUUAACAAAUAAUUUCUUCAUCAUUCACCAUCUUUAAGUCCUUUUUUAUCUUGAUUCUUUUGAAUUGGUAAUGAAAACAUUUGAUGGUGAAAUUCUUUCACUCGUAACUCACAUUAAUAUAAUAAGAAUGAACUCCUUGAGAAUCUAUCAAAUAUGACAGAUUUAGGAUUAAAUUUUGAUUGCUGAAGUUUAUUUCAGCAAAACAAUCAGUCAAAUUUUCAAAUCAAAACCUUCUUCCUUGGGGCUUCAAAUUUUUUUUUAAUCGUUGGGAAGAAACAUUCCUGCUCUAAACAUUGUGCUUGUAGUUGAAAUGCCGAGGACUAAAAGAGUGUACAUUGUAAAAAAUCAAUGCCUUUUCAUCGUUCAGGGUUGACGGAGACAUGCGGUUUGAGUUCGAAUGGAGUUCCUGACGAAAUGUCCUUAAUCGGAACUGUCGGAGUGGCCUCUACGUAUACCGAACUGCGGCUAGAAGAAGUGCCCGAGAUGGGUUAUGAUCCGCUCAGUGUCCCUUCCCGCGGUGAAAUAUGCGUCAGAGGGAAAACUCUCUUUUCCGGGUACUACAAGAAUCCCGAACUGACGAAAGAAGUGAUGAUAGAUGGAUGGUUUCACACAGGUACAUGAAAAUCUCACAAUUUUGAUGUAUUGCUCUUCAAAAUGUCACAUUUAGCCGCGAGAAACUACACCUUCGAAGGGAACAGAUUAAAAUUCAGAUUUUGCAAGGGUGUAACCUCAUUAAUCCUUCGUGUUCAGGGGAUAUUGGAGAGAUCUCCCCAGAGGGAGUACUAAAAAUCAUAGAUAGGAAGAAGAACAUAUUCAAGCUAUCUCAUGGGGAAUAUGUUGCAGCAGAGUACCUGGAGAAAGUAUACGGUUACUUGCCGAUUAUCGAAGAUGUAAGCAUUUUACACUACUUUUGCUGUGGUCGAAAGAGCUUAGCGAUUCCUCGAGCAAUUAUAAUUAGACACAAUCAUUUUUUUUCUUUCUUUCUUUAGAUCUGGGUUUACGGGGACAGCUAUCGAUCCAUGUUAGUUGCGGUGGUUGCACCGCAUGAAGAUAAUACUAUGAAAUGGGCAGAGUCGAACGGCCACAAGGGAUCAUUUUACGACAUUUGUGCACUAGAGGAGCUUAAGAUUUACAUUCUUCAGGAGUUGAAGGCACUUGCAGAGAAAAAUAAGGUAAGAUUCUCUCUUUUUUUCCCUGAUGUAAAAGGAUAAAAUACUUGAUCAAGAAGAACAGAACUAUUUAGUUGGAUAUGAGCUUUGGUUUAUUAUAUCUGUCGUAUCUUUUACAGUAUGUUUUAUAAGAACAAAGUUACCGAUAAAUUGUUCAGUGCACUUGCGCUAACUUAUCGUCACUUGUUUACGAACCAGCUAAGAGGUUUCGAGUGCAUUAAAGGCGUUGUCGUGGAUCCGGUGCCUUUCAACGUUGAAAGGGAUUUGAUGACUCCGACUAUGAAGAAGAAAAGAUCCCAGAUGUUCAAACACUAUCAGGUAAACAGAAAGAACUGAAACUAUUGUUGUUUUUUGUGCUCUCUCUUAUUACAUCCAUUUCAUUUAGUCGUAAUUAAAUCUCUCUCCUUUUUUCUUUUUUUUGGUGCUGUGACAGUCGGAGAUCGAGAAACUCUACAAGAAUCUUGCAGAAAGGCGAGGAGAUAAUAAUAAAGUUAGAAAUGUAUGAUAAUUGGAUUGCAUUGUAUGUAAUGUGUUAAAUGGACAAAAUGCAUUAUUGUAUAUGAUACCUACUUAAAACUAUGGCCCUAAGAUCCUUUUAAGGCAAUAAAAUUAGAACUACUUAUUGCUAUUCUCGAAGCUUUUAUCACGAAUCUGUUUCUUUCUGAAAUGUUUGUUUGGUUUGGACAUAAAAUUGUGCCGAUGAUUUAUCGAUAGUAAGGCGACAAUUAAUGAGCCUGGCACUGAAGUAUGCAGUUGUGGAAGUUCAUGGGUGUUUACUUUUUGGAUGAGUUAACAAUGAAAAGAUGAUUAGUUCCGCGUUGUUCUUGCGUUAACAGGAGUACAUUUAUAUUUCAGCUUCACAAUUAUGAUGUUUCUGUGCGCAUUUCUAAUAACAUCAAACGCUAUUUUGGUUGCAGAAUUUUGAAUCUACAGAUGUUUCAGCUUCAGUUUGUGAAGAACUAGAAAAGUUCUCUAGAUGUUGCAUUGUUUAAGAAACACUAGUUUCAAUGCAGUUACUAUUGUUUAAUUAUUUUUCAAAAUAAUCACAUAAUAGUAUAUCAGAUUGUUAGGUCGAAUUACAAAUGAACGAUAAUUUUUUAGAUAAAAAAUGGAUGACAAUAAAAAGAAAUUAUAAUUUUAGUAUGCAUUUUUUGUGCUGCCGGCGCAUUCUUAUCCAUUUAGGCCGCAUUUGGUUCGGCUAAAGACGAAUCGACAAAUUUUUUCCGGUAUAAAAAAUAUUUUUCCAUGACGAAUCUACAAAUUAUUUCUGGUAUAAAAAAUAUUUUUUCCGUGUAUUUAGUUUUACAUAAAAAUAUUUUUUUUACGGAUUUUGAAAAAAAUUAUAAUUUUCGUCUUCCGUUGUUUUUCAGCGAAAAAUGAAUACUCCAGCCACAUAAAAUUUUUUUAUUUAUUUUUUUCCAAAUCAAAGCAAAUGUGAAUUUUUUUCUUAUAACCAAACAAAUGUUGAUAAAAAAAGAAAAUUUUCUACAAAUGAAAUACUACAAAAAAAAAAAUUUAUCAAAAUUUUUUUUCACGAAAAAUUAUUUUUCAAUUGAACAAAAACCCGUAGGAAAAGAAAAAAAAAAAACGUUGAACUUAGUUAGCUGCACGAUCCAUAUAGACCACUCCGUCCAACAGCUUACACGUGUCUGUAGAUUAUUGGACCUCCAGUCAUCCGAUUCAUGAAUGACGUGGUACACAAAGACCACGCAAUAAUGUAUUCUAAUCGCCCGAUUUUAACCCCACACCCCACUCCGUUCCCACUCCAUCCAACGGCUGUAGCGGUUCCCUCCUUGGAAAAUGGCGGCGCUAUGGGCUCACCUCUCCAAACGCCUCAUCGGCGGCGGCGGCGCCUCCUCCUCCUCCGCCGCCGCGCCGCCGNNNNNNNNNNNNNNNNNNNNNGCCCCCCCCCCACCCCCCCACCCCUCCUCUGAUCGCCUCGUUCUAGGGUUUUGCUAGGGUUUCAUCUCCUUCCCUGCUCUUUUCGCAGCGAAGGUGGGGAUCCCGGAGUUCCUCAGGGGGGUGGGGAAGGGCGUGGAGGCGCACGUGGCGAAGCUCGAGGCGGAGAUCGGCGACAUCCAGAAUCUUCUCGUCGCCCGAACCCUUCGCCUCAAGAAGCUCGGCAUCCCCUGCAAACACGUAAUCGCUCUACACUCCCCCUCGUUUUAUUCGAAUUAAUUUACUAAUUAUCAUGAAAAAAUUGUUUCUUGUGUUUAUUUUCUUGGUUUCUCCCUCAAAUUAUCUUAAAGUUGCUUGCUUGCUUGCGGUAGCUUCAUUAGUUCCUUUUUCUAGAUGGAAGGAGUACAAAUGGAUUGAAUGCCGUUAUUGGGAGCAUUUUAUAUGCUUGAUUUGAUUUUAUGAUUUAGUUACUUAGUGAUUUAGAAGAUGGGGACAGUGGAAAUUAAUCUUGAAUAAAGAUCAACCUAUGUAAAGUCGCUUUGAAAAGAGAAUAGAGGGGGUUCCUUUUUUUUUCCAAUGAGCACUGUGAGGAGGUUCUUGAUGCAUUUCAUGUUUUAAUACUAUUGUAUAUAAGGAAUUGGUGUUGUAAUUUUGUUGCAGUGAUGAAGAAUGUAGUAUCUUCCUUAGUCAUUUUCUUUGCAAGGUUGUAAUUUGAAUCGUUUCAUGCAUUAAAAUUAAUAAGUAACACGCUUUUUGGUCAUUGGAAUGCCAAAUUAGACAAAUAGCUUUUUAGCCUUCUAGAACGGCUUCUACUAUUGACCAUUUUUUAUGGGCCAUGAGAGGUUAACUUUGGUCAUUGCUAAGUUAAAGCAUUGGUUUUGGUUUAUGUUGGGAUCCUGAAGUUUGGCUUCAACAUUUGCAAGACCUGUAUUUUUUUCUACUUUUUGGUUCCUUCACAAACAUGCAUAAAAUUCUGAAUUCAAAAAUAUGUGAAGAUUUGAAUUAAUCUAGAGAAUCAUAGUUUUUAUAUAUUUAGAUGUAUUGAAGUGUUGUUUUAUGCCACUUUCAUGUGUAACUCAGUUGAUUUCCAAGUUGUUGCCUAUUUAGUCAGAGAAAAGAAAUUAGAAAGUAAAGUAGGAAUCAUGGAGUUGUUACUGGACACUUUAGUAACCUUCUCUACAUAUACACUUGCCUGGAUAUAUGUAGGAAUCUCGGAUCCCCUUUUCUUUGGAGCAUAUCUAUAAGACUUAUGAUGCCUUAUCCCUAUGCGAAAAGCCUAAUCACUUUUCACUGCAACUUCAACCAUUAAUGGUUGGAGAGUCCUGUCAUCUAACAAUACUGAUUACUUUUGAGUUAAUUUGCUUGCAAUGUCAUCAUGAUUUACAAAUUGUGAUGGAUUAAUAGUGAGUUGAGUUGACCUGUACUGGUCAACCUGAAAUGAGAUCUCUUGUCAAUAUAGGUUUAUAAAGUCUUGGCAAACAAAAUGUGUUGAAAUACAGUGCUAGCCUCUUGUGUGAAAGACGCUUUCGAUGGUAGUUAUUGCCUUGUUGAUUGGUCGUAGGGUAUGUUUGGUAGCUUAAGCAAGGCUUCGCUUUUAAACUUGCAACUUUUUGAGUUCAACAGGAACUGUCAAUUUAAUUCGAUUACUUGGUCAAAUCAGGAUGUCCAAUUUGGAUCCUGCAUUGCCUUAGGGUCGCCUAAUCCAACCCUAAUUUUGAGUUGGGUAAUGUUUGACAUCAAAUCAACCUGAAACCAUCUUAUCCAAGCCAAUCAGGUCUGUUCAUAGAACAUAGAUUAUCUUUCUAGGAGAUGUAUAGCAGCAUAGAGAUACUUCUUACACCCCGUGAAGAACAAAAAGGUGUGAUUCAUUAUCUCCAUCUAUCUUUUGUGUUGGGAAUUGUGAUUUCCAUACACUAAGCAUAUGCUAAAACCCUACCUCACUAGAACUUACCGUAGACUGGAAAUUUCCCUGUCAAAUGUUUUUUUCGUUCUUAGUAACUCUUUCCUGGUGACUUUUUAACCCAAAUACCAUCUCGACGGUGUGCAAGUAUUUUCUCUAACCUUAUGGCAACCUUUCUUUGGUGACUUGAAAAGUUCAUUUAUCUGGAAGAUUGGAAAGGUACUUAAGGCAUGGUUCAAAAACUCCUUUUUAAUUUGGUCUGUCAAAAUGAAACAUUUCGGCAUUUAUGGUUAGGUAAUUUCUGUUAUUUGCUCUCGAACAAGUCUAUUGGAAACAACUUGACCUCACAGCAUUAAUCUCGUAAUAUUUUGAUAUAUUAGACUUAUGUUUUAUGUUACUUCUAUGAACUAUAAUGUUGGUUUUCAUAUUGGCACCUAAAUUAUGUUGUUCUCUAUAUGUUUUGCUUUGGGUUGUGUGCAUGCACAAGGGAAAGGUUUAUCCUUACUGAGAAGCCUUAUGAAUAUUAUUUACGGCUAUUUGAUAAUACUUGACCAGCCCAAAUUAAGUUGAUGAUUGAACAAGCAUGCAUGUUUUAUUUACCCAAAGAUGUUAAUGCCACUCUGUAUCUGACUUCAUAAUAUUGCUUGAUAUACUUACUGUGAGGUUUCCGUGAUGUUUUUUGAGUCACGCAGAGGAAGUUGAUCCUGAAGUACACCCAGAAGUAUAGGCUUGGACUUUGGAGGCCCCGGGCUGAACCACAAAAGUUGCAGUGAUGUUAACUUUGGUGGUUGAAGAAAACCAACUUUGAGAGAGCACUCUCCAAAAUGAACUUGCAAAUAGCCGUCUCCUUUCUGAACUCUUGAUCUGAAAAUGAAUAAGGCAUCAGGUGGUUUCAGAGUCGUUCAAACUGUCCACGAGAACAUUAUUUGGAUGUGUCGCUCGACAAUGAUCAUAGGUUCCAACUUGAAAAAUAUGAAACCCAUCUAGGUGACUCUUACAUGGUAAUUGCGGUUUAAUACCUUUAUAAUCUUGUAUCCUUUCCUGACCGUACUAUUUGUUUUUGAAAAGUUUAUAUUAUUGGUACGUAAUUACAGCUUCGUAUGAAAGGAACUUCUGCUUCUUUAAAUCAUGGUAUUUAGUACUUUUCGCUAUCACACGGUCAUCCUCCUAUGACUUAGAGCGAGCAUCAGUUAGGUUGGUUUGGUUUUAGAGGGUUGUUUUAAGAAUAGCGAUGAACCCUACCAAACGAAAGUGGAAUAAUUCAGUUCAAUUCAGUUCGGUUGGUUUAUUUUGUCUGGUCAAGAAAUUCCACUUGUCGAAUGACAGAUAUUAGUAAACAAUUUUUAGUAUGAUUACAUCCGUUUAAGUGUUUAAGCAGCCAAUUUGUUUCAAACUGCUAUUAAUGCAGUUUAUUGAGUUUCUAGGUGUAUCUUAAGCUGAAAAGAAAAAAUGGACCGACUCAUUCGAGUUCUGGAGUUCGUUUUGGACUAGACAGUUCUCACCCCCCUGCCGAUGACUCUAGAUUCCUACUUGAAGAUGGAAAAUUGUACAUGAUAUUUUGCAGUCUAGUGCCUUUUGGGUGUUGUAUUUUCUAGUCAGACAAGCUCAGUGGUCCUACUGCAUAUUCCUACAGGUAAACUGCUUUCUAGUGGAUAGAAGCUGAUUCUGCUUUUUCAUGUGUGGCGUGUAAAUGUAUACAAGCAAUCUUGACACUUAGAAAAGUUGUGAACUCUUUAGAGUAGUUUGGAUUAGGCCAACUAAAGGUACAGUAGUUGUUCUUUUGUUAUGCAGGUGGAUUAGAUUGUGUAGAUGAACCGAAGUGAUUUCUCAUGUUAUUCAUUUACCUGUAUGCAACCAGAGGCUAUAUAAUUACCAAAGUUGGUGGUGCUAAAACAAGAUUGGGUAGGAGAAUUUUCUUGUAUUAUUAUGAGCAAGUUGUAUAAUUUGGGCCUCUUCAAAUAUUUUGUUAUCUAUAAUUUAAUAAGAUAACAUAUUUUACCUAUAAGGUGAUUUCUUUUAUUCUGAAUAAAUGACUUGAAGUUUGAAUAUUAUAUUUUAUUUUAAAUAUUUGAUCACAUUUUGUAUCAAUCAGAUGAUAAAUUUCAGAAUAAAUUGUAGGAAUAUACUGAAAAAGAUAUUCAUGUAUCUAAACGUAUGUUAUAUGUAUGUUUGCUACAUGUCAAAUCUAAAUGGCAAGAUUUGACGCUGACGUGGUAAAUAUUGGUUGGUGUUAACACAGUAGUCUGAAAUAAACAAUUAAGGUUGUGGACCUAAUUGGAAAAAAGAAAAGACCAAAAUGAAAAAAUUCGAUAAAAGUUGGGACAAUUGUGCCAUUAAUUGUAUUCUACUGAAAGGGCAAUAGUUAAUUAAAAAAAAUUAUAUUGAUAAAUUCCCUAAGUUGGUAACAUUUUUUGGACAUAUAUCCAGAUACUUAUCCACUUGUAACAUGUUCCAAAGAAAGUGUCAGAUUAAAUUAUUUAUUUAUUUAUUUAUUUAUCCAGAUAAGGCAUCCCCACAUUGGUAGUGGUUUUAGCCAGUUGGUUGGUGAUGGUUGCAGGUGCCAUAUUUAUGUAAGCAUCAAUAGAAAUUAAUUUAGUCCCCUUCACUUCUUUUUCAAGAUCACUCUGGUGGAGCCCAUACUUUGGUAAAAAGAUUUGUUUCUUUUAAUUGUUUUUCUCUUCAUAGUGUUGCAAGAACUAUCAAGUUUUCCUGCUAAAACCGUGCUAACAACUUCAAAUCAAAAUUGAUCUCUACAUUUUAAGACCUGAAAGCUCACUAUCUUUCUAUCACGAUUGAGGAUUCCAAAUUUCUUGUUUGCUACACAGCUUAGGAGAGACAUAUCAAAAUCUAACCAAAACAAAAUGUUCAAAAAAAGUAAAAUGAUCUAUUCAAUGAUCCAAUAUCUCUAUCAACUAACCUAGCAAUUAGAAACAAUUCAAGUGCAUUGCAAAACAAAGUGUAUGAGAGAGGGAGGGGCUGUUCUUACAAAUUAGAAAAAGAAAUACAGAGGAGAUGAAAAUACAGCAUCAAAAUUUCCAGUAAAAAUUGCCAAUAAAAAGGAAGACCAAAAGGACCUCCAAAUUCUCAGCAGAAAACUCAUGCUGUCAUUUACAGGGCACACCUCAGCAAAGGGCAAAAAACCUCAUGACAUUAUAUAUACAUAGCGUAGAUUACGUAAAAUUACAGGCGUCGUCACAACGCAGCCUAUUUAUUUAUCUUUUCUCUUCUUUUUUUCUUUUUUUUUUUUUCUGACCCUUGAUACAAAAUCCUUCUCAACCAGGUACUCGGCUUUCCUCUCCGUGGACACUCAGCCGAGAUAAUGCGGUCACGUCGCUGCAAAAGAACAAUGAAUGGUAAUUGUUAUCAGCUCAAUUUUUUUUUUUUUUUUCCCUUUGUGAUUUUUGGGUGGACACUCUGACCAAAAGAAUGACAGAUAAUAUUACUCCUAGCUAACGAUUGUCGCAAAUUUCAACCAAAAUGCUCUAUAUUUGAAGCAAAAGAGAUGAUAGCUAUGUUGCACAGAUGGAUACGGGAUACGAAGAUACAAUAUGGAUAAAAAGAUGCGACGAAUUCUCAAACAAGGAAACACUCGAUGGCCACAUUCACCUAGUAUCGGUCAUGUAUCAGACGCGUAUCGAUCGCUAAUACACAAAGCAUACGGUCACAGCUUUCAAAAUGAAGUGUCCAUCGAUCCUAGGAUAAUAGGUUUUCAAUGUAGGGGAGCUUUGAGAGAAGAACAACAUUAAGUUACAAGUUACACACAGAAAAAAAGAGGAGUGACAUACUUGGUAGAUGCAGAGGUAGAACCACCGGGGCUGAUCAUAGAGACAUUAUUGUAGAAUUGAACAGAGAUAAGUCCACCAUUUACCGAUGAUUCAGGAGAACCACGAAAGCUUAAACUCGAGCUAUUUCUUGAAAAAACUCCUGCCAACGAAGAAGAAACGGUACAAAUUACACAAGGAAAAUGAUCGCAUACAUGCUAUAUAUGUACUUGAAUGAAGUUUGACGCUUUACACUAAUUGUUCAACAAAGAUGAAGAUAUUUUCAAAUUUCCUUCCAAUGGACAUUCGACAAGUAAUAGUAGCUAAUUUAAUCAGAUUCAUUCCACAACUUAAUCCAUAAACCUGUUGAGCACAUGCAACUACAAACAGCACUCCAGAGUGUAGAAAGGUUUCUAAUAUGGAUAUAAUGUCAAAAGCAUACAUAUUUGUCCUAAGUUUUAACGUCUCUACGCAUUUAAAGAGAGUGCAAAAAUUACCAUCUUUAGAAGCUAAAAGAUAUGUUAUACACGCUUAGGCCUUCAUCCUUGUCCAAUUCUAGUUACUAUAUAUGAAAUAGUAGAAAAUCCAACAAAAGAUCAUGCAAGUAAUAAAAGAUGCAAAUCAUUUUACGUGCAAUGAAAAUAGUGACAGGUUAAAACCCGAAGCAACCAAAUAACAUAUAUAAAAAUGUACAAAUAGUAAGAAAAGAAUGUAUCUGUAAUGUAUGCUGUAACUAGAUAAGCAACAUUAAGGACAGUUAUAUUACAUACUAAAUAAACUCCAAGGAAAGGACUAUGACGAAAUGAGAUGACUAUAGUAUAGCACCAAUAAUGUCGAUCAGAAGAUUACAGAAAGAUAAAAGGUACAUUGAAAUUAAAAAGGAAAAAAUAUCAGAAAAACUAUGAAUUAAAAAGAAAUAUAGGAAAUUGUUAUUAGCAAACCAAGUUAUUCUUAUGCUGCUAUCAUGUAACAGUGAAACUAGCCUAGCAAGGAAAGGAUUUGAAAAAAAGAAAACAAGAGCACUAAUUAGUUUCCUAUUAUGCUUAUGGUGUAGUUAUACAACAAGAAAAGAAAGCACAUAUUUGGUCAUCUUAAAAGACUUAGUUAGGCGAAAGCAAAUAUCUUGUUCAUGCAUCAUCUACUAAGGAUAGUGUUAGCACAAUGCGAGAACGAACUUGUAGACUCAACAAUGAUGAUAUUUCAUAAAUAAGUGAUGAUCUUUUAUACACCGAGUAUCACAAAUGAUAUUGCAAAGGAUAUAGUAGCACUUAUUAUUAGGAACACAAGUAAACCUACUGGAAUUCUCUAAUUGAAUUUGAGUUUCAAGUACUUAAAAACUUCUCAUUGCUAGCAUAAACCUGUUCAAUAUGCAUCAACCAAUAUGAUCAAUUAGCACCAAUUUGUAGAAAUCAUGUAACUCAAUUGACCCACCUUGCCAUAUUAUAACAAGGCAAAAGAGAAUGGUGAUAACUAAAGCACCCAAAUUGGUACUGGGCACUGACGAUGCCGACUUGGCAUUCUUCGUCCGCUUCAGCUCCUUCAUCCUCUCAAUCCUCGCCCUCUUCAUCGUCGCCAGCUCGGACAUCUCGCGGAUGAGCUUCUCGUCAGCGGAAUCCAAUGCCAGCGGCUUCGGAGGCCGGGGAGGCUUCGGGGGCUUCUUGGGCCGCUUCUUCUUCGGCUUCUCAGCUUCGGGCUUCUGCACAAGCCCUUCCUUUUCCACUACAGCUUCUCCAUUAAUAGGAACCUCUUUACUCUUGAGGCAUCCCUCGUCGCCCACAAAACCAUUCCAUACCUUACUCAAAACAGCUUUUGCCUCUCCAGCCCUAGAGAUUGGGUCUCUUGACGCGCCAUGCUCGUCAACUAUUAUUGAUUUUGUCCCACUCUCGAGAUCAAUUGAGGCAUGAUCGAUCGAGACAUCUCGAUCAAUCAAUCUCUUUGUUUCCAUCACAAAACACAAUAUAAAUCUCUUAAAUCAUCACAAAAUGAGCCAAAAAUCUACUCCUUUUUUCUUCGGUAGUCCUAGGUUAGAUUAGAUCCUUCCAAAAAAACCCAGCAUCAGAUUCUCCAUAUCUUUGCCUAAAUCAUUGGAAUAUAUCUCAAAUCCACCAUCUCCCUGAAAAAAAAUUAGGGCGCAAAAUCAAGCUCAUUCCCCAACAAUUCGAACCAUUUCCCCCCACAACCAUCGAAAAAUAGCAAAUUGAAACACAAAUGCAGCUGAGAAAAAAAAAACACCAUCAAAAACGAAUUUUGAAACUGAAUCCUUAACCGAACCAUAUAAAACCCAAAUAUUACCUAAAGAUCAACAGAAAGGGCAAAACCGUAUAAGAGGAAACAGCCAAAAACGCGUAAAGCUCUCAACUUUCACCCUAAAAUCAAGGGGGCGAACGCUUAUCCUACCUCCGGAGUGUACUAGAAAUGAUCGAAUCGAAUAAAUUAGAGGAAAAAAGAGAGAGAGAUGAAUCCAACGAGGUGAGAGAAGAGGAUAGGGUUAGGGUUUUCAAGGGGCGGAUUCGGAGCUCAUAGGGCAACGUGAGAGAGAGAAAGAGAGAGAGAGAGAGAGGAAUUGUUAAUGGAAUUAAAAAUUAGAAAAAAAAAAAGAGGGGAUUUUUUUUUUUGAGAAAAAAAAAGAGGGGAUUUUAAUGGCGUCGGAAGGGAAAGGGCCAAAGGAGAGAGAGAGAGAGGAGAAUAAACUAUUGCGUGGACCGCGGUCUAUAGACCGAGUCCGUUUAACUCAAGCACCAGGUUUAACAAAAUAAAAAAUCUUUACAAAUAAAUAAUAUUAAAACAAAAAUUUUAAAAGUAAUAAUUUUUUUAAAAAAUUCAUAAUAAAUUUCUAAAAUUAAAAUUUCAAAUCAAUGGAUGUGGUUACAUACAAACAGCAAAAGAAUGAUUACAAAAAAAAUUUAAAAAAGUUGUAAGCUGUAAGCCUACUCAUGUAAUGUAGACAUGAAUAUUAUUUCGUUAAAAAAUUUAAGUUUAUCAUCUAGAUUUUGAAAAAAAAAAAAGGUCAAAUUACUAAAUAUUUUUAAAAAUAUAAUACAACUUUUUUUUCAAAUUUCCUAAAAUUUAGGUUAGUUUGGUAUGCUCUGUUUUUAAUAAAUUAAAAAUAUUUUAGACGUGUGUUAAUCACGUCAAAAGAAGGUUACGAAACCCCGGUCUAUGGACCACGGUCCACGCAAAAAAAGCUCCACUCUUAGAACGUGAAAGGGUCAAAUUGUACUCUAGGGUUCGGAUAAGGGGAAAAAGUGAUCUUUGGACACGUGUCCUACAUCUGGGCCGUCCAUUUGGAUGGAUCUUUCGAGAAGUUUGUGAACAAUACCAAGUCCACAGUGGGGGACACCACAACACGUCCAAACGAAGAGACAUAAAAUAAAUAAAAUAAAUAAAUAAAUAAAUAAAUAAAUAAAACAAACCUUGUACGACCAAAACCCACGGUGUACGCGAAGAUUCGGCGAUAGCUCCUCGAAUAUGCCGAGUUCACCUUUUUCUUUUUCUUUUUUUUUUGGGGUCCUUUUAUUCCUACUUGUUAUGUUAUGUGUUUUUCUUUUUUCCUUUUAUGAAAAUGGCAAUUGGUUACGAAAAGGAGUUUAAAAGACUCAAAUAUGCACACCCACACUGUUAAGUUUAUAAUAAAAGUUUUAAAAUGGAAAUCUAACUUAUUAAAUAUCUUAUAAAAAUAUUAUAAAAUUUGAAUACCGAUUUCUCACAAAUCAAAUAAUGACUAUUUCUUCACCAAUUAAAUAUUGUUAUAAUUUAAUAUCUUUAUUUAUAUAUAUGCCUUCAAAUCUUAUGUUCAGAUGGUAAAAAGCAUAUACAUGUAUAUGUUUUUAUUGGAUUUAAAUCUUAAAUUAUUGAUCAUCCAAAAUUACGGAGCUAUUUGAUUGCACAUAAUUACAAUUGUACUUUAUUUAUAAUUACACGUAGAUUCAAAUUUGGUAUUCAUUUUGAUGCAUUUGAAUUCAACUGUUACAGUUGUAGUUGCACAAGAAAGCUCAAGUGUAGUAGUUGGAAUUGCAUUUAAAUUGGCUACAAUUUUAACUCCAGCACUUGAAAGGAAUAAUUUCAAACAAAAAUUUAGUUGUAUGUAGUUUCGACUGCAGCACUUAAAAAAAAUAAUUUUUCAACAAAGAUAAACAAACCGAUCUCUCUAAUAACCUUUAAAAUUGAAUUCCCUUCCUACAAAAGGGGUAAUUUCAUCAUUUCCUAGAAAAUGAUAGAAAUUUGUAAAUACACUUCUCAACGGUAUACAACGGAACGUAGUAUUUAUAACUGCAGCAUUUACUACAACAUUCAAUAAAAUAAGAUACACAUAAUUAUAAUUAUUGUAUUGUUAACCGUAUAUUUUUUUAAUUAUACUGUAUUUAUAAUUAUAUCGAACAAAACAGCCGUAAGCACAGUACAUAGGAUGUACUAACACAGCUGUGCAGGGCAAAAGCUUGUCCUUGUGAUGACCAAAAAUUAAAUUAAAAAAAGGAAAAUCAAACUCAGAUUAUGGUUGUAUGAUGGGAUAGUUUUCCGUAACGAACUUAGAAACACAUGCUCGUGAAAAUGAUUAUAAUUAUUUGCACUAUAAUAAUGAUAGCAAUUAUGGGAUGAGCCAUCAAUUUUUUAGGCCACCCAUACACAACAUCAUGUUUCUUUGUGGUUUAGCUAACAUUAAUCGUAAUUUAAAUUAGAAUCAAAAUGCUUGUUCUAACCCCUCUCUAAAUUGUAAAAAAAAAAAUUGCGUCGUAAUCGGAUUGGAUUUUGAUUAGGAGAACGAACAGAUGAUGCAAAUUUGCAAAGUAGCAGUGUCAUCUUUAAUCUCCUGAAUUUGAGAUUUUUUAUUAUUAUUAUUAUUCUUUUUUUUUGUUUCCCAAAAAUUGUUUGGUUUAGUUUGUAAUAAUUAUAGCAAUACUGUAUGGUUUUCUUGAAAACCCAUUGUUUUUAAAAAAUAGGAGAAACUUCAAAUACCCCCUUGUGGUUUCAUUUUUUCUCACUUUAGUACCGUAUAGUUUAAAGUAGGGUUAUUUGCAUACACGUCCCUGCAAACAUAGUAAAUUGCGGAAAUAUCCCUGCAAAACGGAAACUCCAUAAGCUGUCCCUGCAAAAGUCCUAAUUUAUGCAGAUAUGUCCCUCUGAUUAACAUCUGUUAGAGAUCUGUUUAUUUUUUAACAGUUUUCAUGUGAAAUGACCAUUUUGCCCUCACAAAUAUAUCCCUCCAAAAGCAUCUUCCCCCUUGCUUUCUCUUCCUCUUCGGGCCGCCGGAGCGGAUGGCGGCGACGGCGCGGGUCGAGCUCGCCGGCGACAAAGAAGAGGGAAGAGAAAGAAUGAGAGGAAGAAAAAAAGGGAAGAGGAAGAAGAAGAGGAAGAGGGAGAGGAAGAGGGAAGAGAAAGAUGAAGAAGGAAAGGGUUCGUCGCCACGCGCCGCCGCCGCAUCUCCUCCCUCGCCGGCGACGAAGAAGAGGGAAGAGGAAGAGGAAGAGGAAAAGAAAGAGGGAGAGGAAGAAGAAGAGGGAGAGGGAGAGGGUUCGCCCGCCGUCGCAUCUUCUCCCUCGCCGGCGAUGAAGAAGAGGAAAGAGGAAGAGGGAGAGGAAGAAGAAGGGAGAAAAGGGAAGAGGGAGAGGAAGAAAGAGGAAAAGAAAGAGAGAGGGUUCGCCGUCGUCGCCGUCGUCGCCGCCGUCGCUGCCGCCGCCGCCCUCGCCGGCGACGAAGAAGAGGGAAGAAGAUGAUGAGGAAGAAGAAGAAGGGUAGGAUCGUAAAUUUACCUUAUACUUAACCAUGGUUAAGUACUUUAACCGUGGUUAAUGAAAAUUUUCUAACAGUCCUUAACGGCAGGGACAUAUCUGCAUAACUUUAGACUUUUGCAGGGAUAACUUAUGGAGUUUCCGUUUUGCAGGGAUAUUUCCGCAAUUGACUAUGUUUGCAAGGACCUGUAUGCAUUUAACCCUUUAAAGUAUAUCAAGUUAGUAUCAUAUGGUUUUGCACUUUUUUACUUUAGUACCCUGUGGUUUAAAGUGUAUUAAAUUAGUAUCCUAUGGUUUCGCACUUUCUUAUUUUAGUACCCUGUGGUUUCGCACUUUCUCACUUUAGUACCCUAUGGUUUAAAAAUCACAGGGUACUAACUUGAUACAAAAAUAAAACUACAGAGUACUAACUUGAUACAAAAAUAAAGCACAGAGUACUAACUUGAUACACUUUAAACCAUAGGGUACUAAAGUGAGAAAGUGCGAAACCACAGGGUACUAACUUGAUACACUUUAAGCCACAGGAAUAGUAAAUGAAAAAGUACAAAAUUACAGGGGGUUUUUUGAAGUUUUCCCUUAAAAAAAAACAAUAUUAAUGAGUAUGAGUUUUCAUAUCAGUGUCUGCAGAAGAGGGAAAGGCCCAUGGACAACAUUUAUUGAGCAGUUUAAUGGCACAUGCAAAAAGCCCAUCUCUAACUUCAAUUGAGAUCUCCCUUUGCAUGAUGUUGCGUCACGUGUAGUGAGACAGUGCGAUGAAAUAUACUCUAUUUAUUUUCGUACGUGCUCGCACAGAAAAACAUUUUUUCACCUGCAACCUACAUCAUAUUGGAGCCAUUUAGAUUUUUCUUUUCGGAGGUUAAAUUACAGAAAGCUCUCUUAUAAAUAUUCGUUUUUUCACUUUUCUUCCUAAUUUUUAAAAAUCUAUAUUCUAUCCACUCAAUAUUUCAAGUUAUUAUAUUUAACCUCCCUUGUCAGAAACUCAGGAUUUCAUUAUCAUUCCGUCCAUGUUUUAUAAUUUAUACUGAAAAUACAUUUCAAAAUAAUAAAAACAUAUUAAAAAAAUUUAUUUUUUUAUAAAAAAAGGAUAAUUUGAUCAUUUUCGCCUCUCCAUUAAUAACGUACUUUUCUGAAAAUAUUUCUAAAAUUUUAAAAAACAAAUAUAAAUUUUAAAAAAUUAGAGACAAAAAGUGAAAGAAAAUAGAUAUUUACUGAAACAUUUUUUAUAAUUUAGCCCCCCCCUUUUUUUUUUAAAGUGCUACUAACUGUUUUAAUGCUUGCAAAUAAUUCUUUUCGAAAACUAUUCAUUCAGAAAACUUCUGAUCGUUGUACAGUUGGCGUGAUAGGAUUUGGGGGAGUUUCAGGAACAUUUAUGGAAUCAAUAUUAAGAAUUGGGGUGUACAGUACAUGAGUAAAUAGUCACAAGGCACCUCAAAAUAUGACUUCAAAACUAAAUUCAUUCAAAUUGGAUUUGAAACGGGACUUAAACGAGACUAAACCAACUAAAAUUUCAAUAGUUUGAUUAGUUAUUAGGUUAUCUUAAAGUUGACCGACAUAGCAUAAAUUAUUAUUCUUAACAUCCAACAUUUCACAUUGGUUGAAACAAAAACCUAUCUACCUCCCAACACACUCUGGAAUAAAAGAUUUAGGGAUAACUUCAAACACACCCCCCCCCCCCAUGUAGUUUAAAGCAUAUCAAUUUACCCCCGUGGUUUCAUUUUUCUUUUUUUAUUAUCAAUUUUAUUAUCAAUUUUUCUUAAAUCAAUGACAAAAUUAAAAUUAAAAAAUACUAAAGUAAAAAUUCAAUAAAACUAUAUAGAUAUCUGAAGUUUUUUAUAUAUAAUUUAACGAAAUAUUAAAAAAAAAGCUACCGAAAAAAUAAAAACAAAACCACAGGAGAGCAAAUUAAUACACUUUAAACCACAGGGUACUAAAAUGAGAAAGUGCAAAACCACAUGGGUUUUUUUUUGAAGUAUUCCCAAAGAUUUAAACAACAGGCAGCAGAAGCAGAACCAUGGCCAAAGGGGUACACUUUGAAGAUGAUACAAACGAUUCCUUACCAUUUGCCCACCCUUUUAUAAGGGAAAAAAGAGAGGGCAAUAGACAGAUUUACCGAUCAAAACAAUGCGCAAAACAUUCCACAGAAAUCAGAUAUGUUCAUAUACCAGGAAACCGAGUUAAAACAACUGAGUUCGCACUGAUUACCGACGAUCAAAGAUAAGAUCCAAGGUUUAAAAGUUUAACACAUGAAGAUCGAUAUGUGAAAAAGAGUGUCAAACAGUUCCGUCGAUGGAAGCAGCGGCCCAACAAUACAACUCUUAGCAGUUAGGAGUUUUCUACAGGAAUAUGUCUCAAAUACAAGUUGCUACUAAUUAGCUUCUAGUUCUCUUAGAGAAGCUACAUGAUAACAGAGAAAGUAAGUACUUACCAAGGGAACGGCAUUCUCUAUAUUACCUUGAAACCCCAUUUAGGCACCCUGAAAAUUUGCGCAAUUUGUUUUAGGUACAAAUGUAAACAACAAAAAAAGGGGGAAAAACAGAAACUUCUAUCCAUCAACACCGCAACCAUCUACGUUGCACUACCAGCAUACCUACCUCCAAAUGCCACCCCCUUUUUUCCAAUUUGGAUAGCUAAAUCUGAAUAGGUAACAACACCAAUCUAUACAAAUUCCUACAAUUUAGAUUGCUAAAGAUGGGUAGGAGUAAACUCACCAACUGAUCCCAAAACCAAAGCUAAUACUGGCCAUACGUUUUGCCGUAAUCUUCAUGCCUCUGAUUUUGGUAGUCACUGUAUGCAUCAUGAGGCCUCGGAGCGGAAUAGUUCUCAUUGGGAUAUGGAUAUCUAUUCCUCGUAUCCAUGGAUAAUCCAGUAUUUCCUACAUAUUGCAUGUUCCUCUGAUCAUAAUCUGGGUAUGCAGGCCGAGUAUAAGCAGUUUGGAGGGCCUGAUGCUGCUGCCGUUGUAUUGUAUCGAGACGAAGAAACUCUUCCCACUGCUUCGAAUGCAUGCUCCUUAUGACUCCUAGCUUCUUCAUGUAGUUCUCUUUAAGCUCUCUAAUGAACUGCAUUCACAGGGUAAAAGAAAAGAGAAUUUACAUACAAAAUGAUGGGAGCGUGACCAAUAGAUUAUUGUACAGUUUUCGGCACACAUACCUCUGCAAAAAUGUGAAUUUGUCCAAAUAAUCAUGCAAAGUUGCUAUUUGCAAGUGUGCCCUCAAAAACCUUACUUAUUUGCAAGCCCCUACCAAGAUAUCUAUGCUUACACAGAAGAAUUUGCAUAGAAACCCUUUGCAGAGAAUGCCCACCAGAAAGUACAGUUUCAAGGGUACACACACAAAUACCAAAUUUGCAGGGGUACUUGUGCAAUGUCACCUAUGUAUGGGUACAUAUGCAAAGAAUCCUAGAAUGUUAUUCAAAGGACCCAGAAGUAAAUCUUUACAUUAGAAAAUAGCCUAUUAUGAAACAGCUAUUGAUGAGGAGCUUUAUUGUAUGCAAACUGGUUGCGUUGAAACCUAAUGAAAUGCAACUAGAAAAUCAAGAGUGCUUCUUUUUACAUUUCUUCCUUUAUUGAGAGAGAGAGAGAGAGAGAGAGAGAGAGAGAGAGAGGAAAAACAAAUAUUAAAUGGUAACUCUGCAGAAACAAAUAAUUAGAAAAAAAGUAUCUAACCGCACAUAAAAGCAAGCAAACUCUGAACCAUCAGUGCUUGUGUUAGUGGCUAAUGUGCUAUUGCAAAAGCUAUCAAGCUGACACAAAGUAAAGUGCCUUACCUUUUAUUUAUCAGAAUCGGAGAACAAUGUGAAGAAAAUCAGAGAAGAAAACACCAUUCUAAAAAUAAACACGUAGAAUCUAUCAGAAGCCCAUUUUUCAUACAAGGGAUCAGUUAAUUAAAAGUAAUGGACAAGUCAUUAACAAUAAAAUAUAAGAAAUGAAGCCUUACAAUUAUUCAACUCAAUAUCAACCAAUAUGUAGGUUUUAUUUCUGAAUCUGGGUUUCUAUGUGCUAGUUUAGCCAGACGAUUGCAUACUGAACAAAUUGGCAACAAAUUGGAAAAAUUUAGCAGGUUAGCACAAGAGUAUAACUUAUUUAACUCUAACCGUCUAGAAAUAUAGACUAUAUAAUUAUGUAAACAAAAAAAAAGGUGUCCAAAUCACCAGGAUCUGGUACAAGCAUACAGCAUGGUGGAUGCCACCCAGAAUGAACUCAUACCUAUGGUUAAAUUUUUAGUAGGUGUUUCCUUUGUUGAAAAACAAGGAGUCCCUGUUGCUGCACUGGGUGAAAUACCAUAACUACAUAAUGAAUAGAUUUGACCUGCUUACUUCAUACAAGAAAAGGUAUACUUAGCCCCGUGCCAACCUGAUGACAAAUAUAGGAAAAUGUCUCCCCAAAAUGCAAAAUAGUUUAUUCUUCUUGAAAUCUAAGGGCAUCGCCGACCAUACAAUUUCUAAAUUUAUUUACUCAUCUCAAUAGUGUAUAAUAAAACAUGCACAUAUUCAUUUCAGGCCUCACGAAAUCAACCAUAUAAACAUAGACCAGAAACUUUCCCAGGGUUAAAAGCAACACUUAUCACUUACCUUUCUUUUCACCGCUUACCUUUCUUUCUAAGUCAGAUGUGUUAAUGUAAUUCUUCAGAAUACCACAUGUACUUUAAAAAAAAAAAGGAGCAUGUAAACUACAUUUUUUGCGAUAAGCACGUAGAUUGAGUAGACUCUCUGUGAAUGUAAUGCAAAAGAUAAAUAUACUACAGAAAACAAGAUAGAGAAAUGAUGACUGGAAAAAUUUUCCUGAUCAUAACAGGAAAUUUUAGGGAAAACAAAAAUCAAAGUUUCGAAAUUUCUAUCAGUAAGCCCUACCUCGCGAUGCUUGUUGUUUUCUUCAUCCUCUUCUUGGUCCCUGAUUCUUGCCAGUUCUAAUGCUUCGCUCUUAAAUUCCAUUUCCAAUUCUUCCAAGCUCCGUUGAUAAGUAGGCAAGUCAAACUUACGCUCAGAACGAGACUCCGCCCUAUGCCUCUCGGUAUCCAAGCUAUUAGACCUAUGUGACCUGGAAUUACGAUCGUACCCAUCAUACUGUCUAUAUGCAUCACCGCCAAAAGAAGAGCGUGGUGGAGAUUUCGGUCGAGCUGAACGGCCUUUUGCUCCAUCAUUAGCAUAAGCUUCGCGAAACGAAUAAUGUGUAAGCGAUAUUACACUUUAUUAUAUAUUCAAAGGAGGAACAAUGCCAGAUGCUAUAAUAUUUGCUAGUUGAUCCAAUCCAUAAAAGUCUGAAAUACUUUGAGCAAACAAAUUUGAAUGGAAUAUAUUCUGUCUGACCCGGAACCAAGCAGAAAUCACUUGAUAUUCCGACACAUAAAGCUUGAACUUACCUCUUGCUACAAAAGAGGGACAGAACGAUAGGUAAUUUGGUAUAUCAUAAGACAAAGAAAAUUGGACUACCCGAACUUGCUAAGUUCCAACUACAGAAAUUUCUCUUAAAAAGCUGCUUCUAUCUCUCGUAAUGUCCCUACCUUGUGGAGAAUCCCUUGCAUAUUUGUGCAUAUUUUCACGUACACGAUCUUCAACACGCCUUUCCUGAUUAAAGCCUCUGUUUUGGACAAGUGACGUAUCUCUCGGACUAGAAUAAGAAGACCUUUGAGAUUCAGAACGCCUAAAGUGAGAACCCCUAGGGCUUCCAUCAGGGGAUCUCGACCGUGUCCUAUUUGAACUGUUGGGACUUCUGCUUUUACGUUUAUCCUCUUGAAUUAUUUUAUGCACCGCAUCUACACCUUUAGCUAGUAUUAACCUAUCCUUCCCACUAACUAUCAAAAAUUUCUCAUCCAUUUUAAUUUUGCAUCCAAUGUCCUUUUCAAUCUGACUUAUCACCUUUGGAGAGAAAAGUGCUCUCACUUGUUUAUCUCUAGCUGGAACUCUCUCAAAAAAGUCUGCAUUUUUACGAUUUGCCCCGAGAGUAGAUGGACAACCCUGUAAAAAAGGCAGGAAAAAAAAAUGAUAACAUAACCAUAUAAGAACACUGAUAAAACAUGCAAACAUGCAGCAUAUAGACGUAAGGCAGGAAUAAGUUUUCUUUUUUCUUCCCCCUGAAUCAUUCAGUGGAAUCCUAAAGUAUUUUGCAGAGACCCCUUAACUGCAGUCCAUUUUGAAAUAGGCCCCUUGAGCACUUUUAUUUUGAUUGACAUCCCCUCAACAUUUAAUUAUUUUGAUUCGACAUAUUUUACUAAAUUGAGUUGGAAAAUUAAUUAAAAAAACAGAUUCUUUAGCUAUCAGUCAUUGACUGUUAUUGAACAGAAGUUAACUUAUGAGCUGUUCAGAAUAGUUAACUGUAAUAGAUGCACCGUUAAAUUUAAAAAUAUUCCAAAUUUGAUUGUCAAAAUAACUUGAACCAAAAGUUGAGUGCAAGGCAAUCAAAAGAAAAGUAGUAGAAGAAUCAAUAAUUACGGAGGUUCCUCCACAUUUUUUUACCAAUAGUAAAUUAAUGGCUCAUACAAAUAUAAAUUAACUUAAUUCACAAUCAAUGUUUACUUAAUCCCAGAUUUUCCUGAUGAAACAACUCAAACCAAAACAAGCAAAAACUUGAGAAGGUGUCAAUCAAAAAAAUAUAUAUAUAGAGAGAGAGAGAGAGCGGCUACAAUGCUAUCAAUAGCACCAAGCGCUUGGUGCUACUAAGUUUUCCACCGUUAGAUUUACACCUUUGACCAUUUCUACCCGUUAGAUCAUACUAUUCAACUAACCACCCAUUCAACCCUAGGGGAUCACUAUCAUCUUAACCGCACAUCGCUUGGAGCUACUAAGUUUUCCGCCGUUAGAUUUACACCUUUGACCAUUUCUACCCGUUAGAUCAUACUAUUCAACUAACCACCCAUUCAACCCUAGGGGACCACUAUCAUCUUAACCGCACAUCGCUUCAUCCAAGGGCCGAAAACGUAAUACCACCAAUGACUUGGUGCUAUUGAUAGUAUUCUAGCCUAGUUCUCUCUCUCUCUCUCUCUCUCUCUCUCUCUCUAUAUAUAUAUAUAUAUAUAUAUAUGUGUGUGUGUGUGUGUGUGUAUGUACAUGUAGGUGCUACUGAUAGUAUUCUAGCCUAGUUCUAUAUAUAUAUAUAUAUAUAUGUGUGUGUGUGUGUGUGUGUGUUAUGUGUAUAUGUCUGUGUAUAUGUAUAUGUAUAUGUAUAUACGUGUGUGUGUAUAAAGUUGAAGGUCUAUACAAAAUGACCAAUAGCUAAGAGGCACUACAAACAUUUUUACCAAAUGUUCAUUUAAUGAAAAAUCUAUCUUUAAGAUUACUGAGGAAGAAAACUUACAUACCUGUGUAAAAUGACCCAAUUCACCACAUAUUUUGCAGAUCAUUUCCUCUUCCUUUCUUUUCUUCCAAUUCCUUUCAGUAGCCUUCGCCUUUGCCUCCCACACCUUAGCCUCUCUACUAGUAAAAUCAGUCGGAACAGCAUUAGGAUCCCGAGGCUCAUCUUCUUCAUCAGAUUGGCCACCAGGAAAAGCUCUCUUGUUAUCAUUUCCUUUUGGCACUGAAUUGUUGGCAGCGUUCGAUCCAACAGGUCCAGUGUAUGCUUUCCCAUAAACUUCAUUAAAGAGUUCAUCAUCUAUAUCGGGACUCGGAUCUCUCGCCAUUCAUAAAACAGAAUACAAGCCGAGGCCUUGAUCAGGUGCAAGAAUACAAACCCUGUUAAGUCCAGAAAGAUGAGCACCACUCAUGUGAUAUGUUUCUCAUUUUCAGCUCAGAAAAGGAGCGGAUAAACCAAUUACUAAAUUUAUGAAUCCCAUAUCUAUAUCUAUAUUUUACUGUUUUUAUAAGAAAAUAUAUUUAGUCGUUUCUUCUUCAACCUGUUUUGCUAGUUCUCGUAAUUCUACUAAUCUACUCUUACACAACGUAUUUAAUUCCAUUACCAUCUUCCACAUGCUCGUCUUCGGUAAUCAAAUUUCCUUACACUAAAUAAGCCUUCUUUGAACCUACCGCAUAACCUAUAAUAUGCUCUUUACAGUUAAAUAAAAAAAAUAAAAGGGUAAAAUGUAUAUAGCACCCAUACUACCAGAUAUCCCUGAAAAUUCCAUCCUAGGCGCAACCAAAGAAAAAAGUGACAACAACCAACAUUUACCUAUGUAAUGAUCUUCUAAACCUUGUUACAAGUACAUUUCCAGAAAAUCGACAAAAACAUUGGUUGUGGAUUGAUUACACAUAAAAGAGGCACAAAAAAAAGAUUUCGGGGUGGUGAAAGUUCUCCAAGUGUUUGGUUCCACAUAAAACACUUUUCAGUGGAAAACAGUUACGUAUUUUACACAAAACAAUUUGUUUCCAUUUUCCAGAUAUUUAUAAAUGGAGAAUGAAGAAUGAAAACUAUAAACUCCUCUUUGUCCCUCAUUAUCUUCAUUUUCUUUUUCCUGCAAACCAAACAUUUUAUGACAAGAAAACUAUUCACUUCAUGCCGAACCAAACUCCAACAAAGGUAAAUUUUCUUUUCCACGGGAAACACAUUUCCCCUGAAACCAAACACAACAAACGACACUUCCCUAUGAAACGAUCUUCUUAAUCUUGUUGUUUCAAGCAACACUGAGACAAAUGAAGCCAUUUUACAGAAGAUUCAACAAAAUUGAUCAAUAAGCACGAAGAAAAGAAAAAACAAGAGAAAAGAACUAACAAGAUCUAGUAAAUUACACCAAAAUAAAAGAGAGUAGAGAUUGGAUAAAGAAGAGCAAGGGAAUUACCUAUACUACAUCCAGUGAGAGAUCUAUGAAUAGCUUCGAGAGAAUCGGAGAGGAGAAGAGCGCGAGACGACGACGACGACGACGACGACGAGGAGGAGGAGGAGGAGGAAGCGAACGAAGAGAGCGAGGAGAGGAAAUGGAGAGGGUUAGGGUUAGGGUUAGGGUUUGUUGCGGUUGGGGGUUGGUUGAGUUGGGCCAGCCCAUUUACGAUUGCACGUUGUUUGGAUGAGGCCGAGUUCGAUUUUUACGGAGGCGGUAAAAGUAAUCCGAACCCAUUGGGUUAUCCCGAUUCGACCCGAUUUGGAUCGGGUUAUGGUUAUACUCAUUUUGGUAGGCCGAAAAGAACGGGUUUGGCCUUUUAAGGUUCUUAAGGUGUCCUUUAUCUAACCCGAUUUGGAUCGGGUUAUGUUUGUUUUCGUACAUAAAAUUAUAUUCCGCGAAUUACAAUAAAUCAGUUACAAUAUAUUUUAUGCAGUCCCACUGAAAAAUAAAGAAGCGUAUUAUUAUAUGCUUUCGUCCCAACACCUUUCUCGGCCUACUAGCUUUAGGCGAGCGUCAGUACCAAACGGGCUCUUGGUUUACAAUUAUUAUUUGCGGUAAAACUUUGUUCGAACGUGCGACCUUGCUAGCCGACAAAUUUACCAAUUAUAGUAUUAUCAUAUAACUCCUUACAAUGUAAAUAUAAACUUGGUUUAACAUGACUGUACAGAGCACUCGGUAAAUAUUCUGUAUGUUGGAUUAUGACACCGUUGCGAUAUCGUAUCUGUGCCUAUUCCAUAAAUAUUCUUACGAAUUUAUUUAUCUACAUACAUUUUUACUCUUUGAAAAUGUAGUUUCACAUAAAAUUUACAUGGAAUAACAUAAAAAUGAGUACCUUGCAAUAACAUGUGAGAGAAAAUUUUCUCUUCCAUAGUUUUUGGCACAUGCACCAUGCAUUCUCUCCUCUUAGAUUUCACUCAGCACAUCUCUUAACAUGCCAAAGGAGUGGAAAUCCAACAUUCUAAUUGUAUGCAACUGUUGUGAAUACUUUUCUUUUAUUAUUAUUACUAUUAUUAGGUUAAAUUACAAAAAAAAAAAAAUCCUUCCGUAAAUAUAUAUUUUUUCUUCCUGACUUUUAAAAAUCAACAUUUGGUCCCUUUAAAAUUUAUAAAAUAUUUUUAGGGCUAUACAGCAUUAAUGAGAGGGCAAAAUGAUCAAAUUAUCUUUACUUUUUCUGUAAAAAAAUAAUUUUUAAAUAUAUUUCUGUCGUUUCAAAUGGUAUUUUAGAUAUAAAUUAUAAGAAAAUAAACGAAAUAGUAAGAGAAUAAAAUAUAAGUUUUUGAAACUUAGGGACGAAAAGUGAAAAAAUGAGUAUUUAUAAAAAAAAAUUUAUGUGAUUUAACGUUAUUAUUAUUAUUGAACUUCUCGGUACGCUCUUGAAUUCCAGAAAUCUCUCCAUAUACAAAUACCAAUUUUUUUUUACCCACAAACUCAAAGGCUCUGUAGCCCCAUUUUCUCAAAUGCCCAAGGGAGAAAUCAAAUUCCAACAUCUUAGCAAGCAAUAUACUUUUGGUUUGCGAAAUGCUCCACUCAAAUAGAAAAAUCAUUACUUAGGCUCUGUUUGUCGUGUUCUUCUUGACGAGAUUAGUUAUAAUCAUCUGUUCUCCAUUUCAUCUCUAUUAUCAAGCGAAUUAUUACCUCCUCAAGAUUAACAAAUUAUUUUGUAAAAGCUGUGAUCAUAUAUGGAAAGUGACUGGGAGUCAAGAGGGCAAAUCAAUGCGCAGUCCUCGGCUGAUGUGGUGCACCAGGUCCAAACAAAGAAUUUCUUACCAAGUGGAGUAGCUGUUCCAAAAUUGUGGGCCAACAGUUUUCUCCUUUCCCAGCCCACAAUGAGCCCUUGAUAACAUAUAUAAAUAUAUAAUAGGGAAAACUUAAAAAAAACCCCUUGUAGUUUCACUUUUUCUCACUUUAGUCCCCUGGGAUUUAAAGUGUAUUAAGUUAGUACCAUGUGGUUUCGCACUUUCUCACUUUAGUACUCUGUGGUUUAAUAUUUCAUUCGGAGAAAAAUAAAACCACAGGGUACUAACUUGAUACAAAAAUAAAACCACAUGGUACUAACUUGAUACAAAAAUAAAACCACGGAGUACUAACUUGAUACACUUUAAACCGCAGGGUACUCAAGUGAGAAAGUGCAAAACCACAGGUACUAACUUGAUACACUUUAAACCACAGGGUACUAAAAUAAAAAAAAUGUGAAACCAUAAGGGGAGUUUUUGAAGUUUUCCCUGUAUAAUAAGGUGGGGCCUUUGUUAUCCAUCGUAAGCCCAUUUUAUUUUCCAAGCCAACUUUAUUUUGUAUAAACUAGAAGAGAAGCAAAGUGAAGAUAUAUAAUAUAGUAGUUCUAGGAUCAUUUAACCAAUGCAUAAUACUCCACAUUAACACAAAUUCUGAUGCAAAAUUAACUAAUUAACAAGAUACAUUCUCUUGACCGAAAAAACAAAAGACAAAAAUAAAAAUCGUUCAUUCUCCUGAUAACAUCUUAAGAGCAAUUUGCAUCCCUUGCACUUGCACCUUCAAACAUGCAAUGUAAUCCGCAGCCUCUCGAAAGAGCCCGCGGAGACCCACCGACGACUCACCGCCACUCGGCACGAGCCUCCGGAGUGCCCCGACAUGUCGGUCGAGGGCCCGAACUGGCCUUCUCGAGCUUACCAGAAGCUUUCUCCUCUUGACUUUGAGAAGCCUCCUCCUCCUCUCUAGAGCGAGUCGCACCGAGGCUCGAGCCCAACGUGACCUCAAGCUAAGAUGGUUUGACUUGUCGAGCUGUUCGGAGAAGCCGAUCGAGUCGAGAGCCAAGAGGAGGGAUUGUGUAGAGGAAGGCAUGGUUUGAUGUUGCUUUUGUGGAACCUUGCUUUCCUUUUUAGAGAGGACUUUUAGUCCUAGUGGUGCUAGUACAAGGCUCAAGUGUACCCUUGGCCUCAGGAGGAGCCCUCUUUAUAUAUGGUUUUGGAAGUAAGAUGUGUGUGGAUAGGCUCCCAAUCUCAUUAGUUUUAUAAUGCUUAUGGUAAUGAUUGUGGAGAUAGAGAGAGGGGUGGGGGAGUAUAUAGCUUUGGUGCAUGGGUAAUGUUUUUUUUUUCACUAACACAAUGCACAUGGACUCACAUGAACCCUUUAGAGGCCAACCUACUUCAUCCAUCCCUACCCCUUCUCUCCUUUCCAAUGUUCCCAUCCCUUUUUCUCAUCAAAACACCCUGGAUUAUUCUCUCUCUCUCUCUCUCUCUCUCUCUAGACAUAUUGUAUAUACUACAAAUGAGGACCUUCACACCCAAAAUCCAGCUCAAUCAUACAUGUCAUGGGUCCAUGGGUCCACUAUUGGGGCUCAAGGAGAGGAGAGGCCAAAGUGGUAAGCCCACUUAAGCUUAUUGUUUCCCUAUAGGAGACCCUAAAAGUGGCUUAAUCUAAGAAAUGAUGACAAUGUCUUCCUCAACAUCAAAGCAUCCUAAGAUUAUAAAAAUUGUACUUUUAUAUUAAUCUUUCAUUUCCCUAGCAUAUUUAUGUCGUCGUAGGCACGUAAACUAUAGAAACAAUUAAAUGAUUGAUUAUUUACGAGGGGGAUAAAAAAAGGGAAUUAGGCCCAUUGAAUCACAUGCUAAGUUAGGCCCCUCCUCUAGAGAAAACUUGUAUUGUAAUCCAUGAUUAAUUGGUUGCUUAAAGAGCAUCUUUUGAUCAUGGCCAUGCAUGGUUUAGGUACAAUGAAAAGAUUAUCCAUGUCAUGGUUCAAUUACGACGCAACGCGUGUAAGUAAGAAAAAAUUGUGAUUCCAAAUCAUAGUUGGCAUUCAUAUUCCUACAACAAACCAUACUACAAUUGUUAAUUAUUUGCUUUGUUGGUCACUUCUCACAUCUUCUAUUCCUAUAAACUUGGGCUUAUGGAGUAGUACUCCUCAUCCAUUUUCAAAAAAAACUAGGGAAAAAAAAAUAAAGAAAAGAUAACUAUCAUGAUGAAUAAUUGUAUAAACAAAAAGUAUUGCAAAUUUGAUAAGCCAAAUACUUUGUUAGGCUUCAUUUAAUUGCUACUCAGCCAAUAAAUGCUACAAGAAUGUUUUGGAAAUUAAUACAAGCUAAAGUCCAUAUAUAUAGUGUUUUCACCCUUUUAAGCAUAAAAUGGUUCAACUAUUAUUAUCCUAAUGAAAACUAAUGAAGCAAGUGUGAGAUGGGCCAUUUCAUGAAUCAUUGUUGUUAUGGUGCUAGUGCUUAAGUACCAUUAAUUGCAUGUGCUUUAGGCCGAAAAAUCGUGGCUAUAAUGAUCCUAGCUAGUGAAACCAUAUGCUCAAAGUUUUUGAACCCAAAUGAUACCUUGAUCAACUCUAUAUAUAGGUAGGUUAGUCUUAAUCAUGAGUUGUCUAUGCUAGCUGGCAUGCAUGCAUCGGAUAUAUAGCACAUAUCGAGUCAGCAAGGUAUCGACAUAGUAUAUCCUUCUAAACUGAUCAUAGCACAGUGUAAAAACUACUUUUUCUCUGCUUUUUCUUAAGAAAACAGUUCAAUAUAACGACGAUGAUUAAACUGAGGUAUGUUUAAGAGCUCAACAUCUCAAAUGCCGAAGUUAAAAAUGUCGCUGUAUAUCUUUCUUCUUAUUUAUUUUAUUUUGGAGAGAGAUAGGUAGCAUGCUACCUGCUUCGUUUAUUUCUUUUAAAAAUAAACUUAGCUGGAAAUGUGAAUCAUUUAGGAUUCGAACUUAGAAUUUCGGAUACCAACUACUAAGCUCUUUGUCAUUUGAUGUCGUUGUAUAUCAUACCCAGAAGAAAUCAAAAUGUGCAUGUGCCACUGCCCAAAUAGGAGACAACUUCUACGCAUGCAAGAGUCCCAUCAACAAUGCAACCAAAGUGGGGAAUAGUAUUUGGGGUGGCAAAUACAUAUGGGAUAUUCUUUGCUCUCCCAGUCCUUUUCCCAUUUUGAGCUAUAUAGUAGGUCUCACCUCCUUGAGACAUUGGUCUCCAUUUCUACAUGUGGUUGUGUACUGCUCUACAUAUGUAUCCUUGUCAUCUAUCAUGGCGUGUAUCAUCAUCAACCAUAUAACCUACCUCUCCAUGGGACCCCUUCUUUGGCUCCUCCCAAGUGGAAGAUCUAUCCAAACCCUAAUCAAUGUCCCAAUCAAAAGAAAAAGGCCAUAGUGUCCUAUCCUUGCCAUGAUUAUGUUCUCAUAUGUUUAAUUCAAAAAUGUUAGAUCAUUAGAACUAACCACAAUUUUAAAAACUGAAACUAUUAGCAAGGGGACAAUAUCCAUUCACUUAAACAUAAAGACCAGUGUGGCUAAGUUUUCGAUUGUAAUUUAAUCUUUUUGCGAAGCUGGAACCCUGUGAUCUCAAAGUUGAGAAGUGGAUACCUAACCACUAGCCUCACUACAACAGAAUUAAGUUAUAGGGACACAUGUUUGUGAUACUUUUGAAUAAGUGUCCCAUUUAUACUAAAAUUUAAAAAAACAUCUACUAAUGCCUAAAUAUAAAGCCCAAUCCAACUAAAAAUAAAAGAUUACCCUACUCAACCCACCACACCCAGUCCAUUUGGCCCGAUUACAAACAGAAAAGAAAAAUAAAAGAAAAAUUAAUUACCAUCUUUUCUUCUCUCUUCACUCAAUCCACUGAAAUUUUAGACGAAGAGCCUUUCCUGUCGUCCUCCUCCGCCACCGCAGCCAACGAGAUAGAGUUUCCGCGGUUGCUAAAUGCUUAAAUAAGUGUUGGUAAAUUAGCAGUACUCUUUUAGGUUAUAGCGACACUCUUUAACUGUCACUAUAUAUCUAGCGACCCCACAUAUAGCAACACUUUUUAAAAGUGUCAGUAAUUUUAGCUAGCAGCAUUUUUUUGACAUGUACCUAUAUUUAAAAGUGUCGCUAUAGACUGUUUUUGUUGUAGUGACCGGUACUCAAUGAUAUCGAACUACUCUCAAAUCUUUUGUUUCUAACUUUUUAAGAUUUCUUUUUUUACACUUU
rnacentral:lncRNA from 1 species